UAAGAAGUAAUAUGUACGUCUUGGCUUGCUUGUAAACCAUAAACAUCAAUGUGAUAGAUAAUUUGGCAAACCAUCAACGUGAAGCUUGCUCAAGGCCAUAAAGGGAUUUUUUAACUUUGCAAAUCAUAUUUUUGGUUCUAGAUUUCCUACAAACUUGGUGGAAGCUGCAUGUAUACCUCUUUAUCUAAGUCUUCAUAAAGAAAAACAUCGUUGAUGUCAAGUUGGUGAAGAUGUCAAAUUCUAAUUAUACAAUAAUUAGGGGUGACAAUGUGUCUUAUCGUGUUGAGGUGAGAAAUAGUGAAAAUUUACUUAAUCCGACUAUGACCCGUUUGAUAAUCGUGUCAAAAUAACCUAACAUGAAUACAAUUAGUUUAUUUCAUGUAACAUGACCCUUUUAACAUGUUUAAUAAAUAUAUUAACUUGGAUUAUGUAUUAAUUGACAUGAAUAACUCAUUAACUUGAUUUCAACCCCUUAAACUCAUUAACACAAUUCCAACCCAAUAAACUCGUUAAUAUGAUUUAACUCAUUAAACUUGUUAAUAGGAUUAUAACCUCUUUAACCUAUUUAAAAUUUUAAAUUUAUAAAUAAUAAAAUACUUCUAGAAAGUUUAAUUUUUAAAAUUUGAACUAUAAUACAUGUAUGCACCAAUUUCAUGAAGUCCUGAAAAAUUAGCAAAAUUAUAGAAAAAUAAUAUAAACAAAAAUUUGUAUUAAAAUUAAUAAGUAUGGGCUACAAUAUUAGUCAUAGUACUGCUUAUUUCUGAAUGACUUUAUUAAAAAGCGAAGAAUACAUGUGUAGUUCUUAUGUGAUUUCUUAAACUUGUAAGGCGAUUUUAUAAAGUUUUUUUUUUCUUUGUGAAACCUCUUUUUCUAUGUGAAAUUGUUUUGCCGAUUUGAAAUCUUCAUUAAAGGAAGUUACUAUUAUUUAUAAUUGAAAUUAGAGAAUGAAAUGUGGAAUCCCCAUGAUUUAGUUGCUUAAUUCAAGGAAUUUGAUUAAUUGAUUUUGGUAACUUGUCUCAUAAAAUUUUCUAACAAGAAUAUUUAUUUUUAAUCUCUUUUAUUUCAAUUGGAAUAUUUGUUUCCUUUGUAAAUUUGUCAAUAGAAUAUUUAUUUAUUUAUUUAAUUCUCUUUUGACUACAAUGAGAAGAUUUGAUUUUGUUUGUAAGACUAAAUUUUAUAACCUUUCAAAUUUGGCCAAGUGACACCUUUUGAAUAUAUGUCACAUGUCAAAUGUGUGUGACUCAUUAGUUGUUGAACCUAAAUUUUCUUGAAUUAGAAAGCUAUACUUUUGAAGACUAAUUUAGUGAUAAUUUAAUUCAUUAAAUUUUUUUGGUGUCUACAGUAUAUUUAUAAUAUGAAAAGUAAAUUAAAAUUUUAAUUUUUUUACUUGUUUAUUAUUUUAUUUAUUAUUUAAUGAUAAAUAUUUUUAUUCUUUAUUGAAAUAUAUAAAAUUUUAAUUAAUAUUUUAAUUUUUUUAAUUUCUAUAUAUAAAAUAUAUAGAUUUAUAUGGUCUAAUUGAGUCAUUAAAAUAAAUAGGGUAAAUAACUCACACAUAAGUGAUGGAUCAUUCUAACAUGAUUAAAUUAACAAGUUAGAUGAAUUGAGUAGUCAAAUACAAACAUGAUUUGUUUAUUAAAUAAGUUAUAUGAAUUGAUACGAUUAUGACAUCAACUCAAUUAAACUUAACUCAAAUAAGCUUUGUCUUUUAUUUUAAGUUGUCUAGUUGUUCACACAAAUUUUCUCAAAAUAAAGAAAUUAUAUAUAAAAUUGUAAAUUUGAUUAUUUGAGGGGACCAUUUUCAAUACUCUUUUUUAAGUAAUCUGGUGUUUAAUUUUGAAUCAAAGGGGCUUUCAUUAACAAAUAAUAGACUGUAGUUUUCAUAUAAGAAGAAAUCUCAAGCCUUUUUUUCUUGAAGGAAUCUUUAAAUUUUCUUUGAUACUUUAAAAAAUCAAUCUUCUUUGAUUUUUUAAGAAAUCUUUGAAUUUUCUUAAAGUCUUCAAAAAAAAAAAAAAAAAAAAAACUGAGUUUAAGGAAUUUUUUUAAUAACUCUCCAAAUUUCUUUGAUAUUCCAAAGUGUCCUUUAGAAGGGGACAAAUCCUCUAUUUACAGGAUUGAGAGUUUUAUUUUAAUAUUAUCUCUUAAUUUUUAAGAAAUAACUCUCUUAUUUAUGAUAAUUACUAUUUAUUUUAUUUAUCAUAAUUAGUUGCCUAUGAUAAUUAUCAUAAUUAAUUUUUCUAGAGAUAAAUAAUUAUAUAUAUUUAAUUAAUCAUGAUAACUAUAAUAUUUAUUUAAUUUUUUAUUAAAUUAUUUUACAUAACAUAUCAAUAUAUAUUAUUAGUCAAUUAUUAACACCGAAAAUUAAUGAGUUGGCAUAAAAUUUAUCUCUCUAUAAUAGUAUCAAAGCGAGCCUUAAUAAUAACAUUGCUUAUAGUCAAUUUCACAUGCCAACUUUUUACUGGGCAUUGGCGAUUUCAAUUUUGAUAGUCCGGUUAGAAAAAGUAGGUAAAGAUUAUUUGAUGUGGUAGGUCAUUUCUUUCAUAAAGACGAUGGCGGUGAAUUCAUGAGACAGGUGAUAAAGGAGAGAUUCUUUCUUUUGGCUUUGGAAUUUUAAUGAGGUCCUCGAUCCUCAUCCAAAAUACACCUCUCCAAUUAUAAAAAUCUUAUUAAAAAAAAAAAGAUUUGACAUGUGCCUUUCGAACUGCUGGUUUUCUGUUCCAAAAAUGAGAAUGGUUUCAAGUGGAUGAAGGAAGGUGAAGAACCCUUGGUUUUGUUAAGCGAAAAGCCACAUGAUUAAAUAAACAUAAGGCGGCAAAGGCUGAAAAUUUAAAAUUAUACUAAGGAACCCACCCCACAGGGCGACUACACUUUUGGUGAAGCCACGAGAAUGAAAGAUAUCGAAGGUGACACCAAGACAUUAAGCAGCACCAAGGUUUCGAUAUAUUAUAAGAUGGGAUCUUAUGAAAGACGAUCUCUAAUCUCUCUCCAAUCUCUUCUUUAACCUUUUCUUACUUAAAUCCAUUUCCAUGGUAGGGCACAUGUCCAGCUGACCCUACCCCCUCACCUACCUAUACUGCUAUACCCUUUUGUAUAAUUUGAUAUGGAUUGGAAGCCACCCCAACAUCUUUCUAAUUGCUCGUAAAUGUUGAGGUGCCUUUCCAUUUUGAGGCUGCCCUAAUGUGUGGCUGAAGUACGUAGGAAAAAAAAAUUGUGAUACAUGCACUGACGAAUCAAAUCCCAAUGUCAAAUUAUUAGACUCACCUGGUUCUUAAAUUAUUGUGAAUGCCGCUGGCCAUGGAUAAAUGGAAUUAGUGCGUGGCUUAAUGAAAAUUUAUUUUGAAAGGGAUAUUAAUUUGAGAGAAUUUUGGCUGAUACUUGGAGUUGAACGUAAGCAUAUAUGACCUCAUUUCGGGUGUGAUAUUGUGCUUAUAACGAACCUUUCGUUCUUUCCAAUUCCAGUGGGUAUUAAAUAAUUAAAGAAUUCAUGGUUCGAAGGCGAAAGGUAGAAGACCAAAAAGGGAUUACAAAGCCAUCGGCUUGACCAUCCAGAUGCAAUGGAUACAAACUUUGGACUCUAUCGAAAGUUCUUUGGGCACGUGCCCAAGUGUCCUACCCAUAUGAUAAGUUACACGUGGCUAAUUGCGGACCGGUUGCUCGUGCUAAACAGGGUACUUUUUCUACGCAUAUAAGAUGUUUCACUAGUGGGGCUUCACCAUGCAAACUCAUGGAUGAAGACCCUGAGGCCAAGAUGAAGGAACAGAAAGAAGGCGGAGGAGAGGUUCGGUAUCGAGGCGUUCGGAGGCGGCCAUGGGGGAAGUUUGCUGCGGAGAUACGUGACUCGACUAGGCAUGGAGCGCGCGUCUGGCUCGGGACUUUCAAUUCUGCGGAGGAGGCUGCAAGAGCAUAUGACCGAGCUGCUUAUGCCAUGAGGGGUUCCUUGGCGAUUCUCAACUUCCCUAAUGAGUAUCAUACACCCGGCACGGCUAGCUCUUCAGCUUCAUCCUCAAUGCCCGAAGGUGAUCAGCAGGGAAAACAAGUCAUUGAAUUGGAGUACUUGGAUGAUAAGCUGCUAGAGGAUCUUCUCGACUCUGAAGACAAAAAGAACAAGAAAACCUGAAGUUUCUGCUGCCUCGAAUCCCCUGAAAUCUAGUGCUUCAUCGAAAAAAAAUCCCCUCGCUCCUGAUUAACAACAUUUUUAUUUUAGUCAAUGAAUGUGUUCUCGGAUCAUUAUAAGUAUUUCUGCCGAAGUCCAUUGAUUUUUGGAGACUGAAAAAUGUCAGAAAAAUUGGUGCGAACAGGUUUACUCCUUUCUAAAUUAUGCAAUUGAAGUAUUUGGAUUAGUGCGCAGUGUAAACAUCAAGGAAAGCAUGAUCCACUAUUUUAAGGAGCCUAAGUGCUUUCCCCUUUACUCUUUUAGGAUGUCUUUUCAGUGAAGAAAGUUGGGAGACCACCACUUACCCUUUUGAUUGGUAUAUAACUGCCAACUAAUAACUGGACUAACAUUUGGCCCGUCUGGCCCUACUUCUUUGACUUUGUUGUUAAUUUAUAACUUUAUGUGAAGUGGGGGCUGUUUGGGAAUGUGUGAAGCAAGGAUUUGAGCCGACUUCGCCUAAUCUGAUUCUCCAUAAGUGACUUCAUUUUAUCAUAUUGGUGUUUUUUUUCUUCUUCUUUUUAAAUGGCUGGGGAGGAGGGGAUUUGGGAGGGAUGCAAUGCCAUGGUUGCAUGCUGGAUUAUCCUUCCAAAUGAAACAUCCAUUUGGUUUCUAGUAACUAAUUGCAAACAAUUAAAGAGAAUAAAAUUUUAAGAUGAUUAAACAAUAAGUACCUAUGUCCAUGAAAAGGAGAGAAGUUCACUCAUGGGUGUUCAUGAAAGACAUCACAAAGAACCAUCAAUAUGAGAAGAAUCCUGAUACAAUUAACUUUCAUGCAUAAGAAAAGACGCUCAAAAAAGAAUAAUGCUUACAAGGAAAGAAUCUCACUACGAUCAACUGAAAAAAUAUUCCAAUUUAAUUGGAAAUCCUUACAUGGGAAGAAUAUCAAUAAAAUCAACUAAAAAAAUAUUUUAAUUUUAUAUCAAAAUAUUUGUGAUUUAACCCGUAUCAUUUCAUCAUGACUUCUUAUAAAUUUUGUUCCUUUUUAUCAACACCACCCCUUGAGUUGGAGCAUAAAUAUUUAUUAAGCUAACUUGAACAAGAUCUUGAGAAAUUUUGUCGCAGGAUUUGUUUGCACUUUUUUUUUUCAAAUAAAGUCAUAAUUAACUUUAAUAUGUUUAAUCAUUUCAUGAAAUACUAGAUUUUAAGCAAUGUUGAUAGCAUACUUAUGCCUGAAAGCUUUAUCCCAAAUCACAUGAGUACAUGAAGUGAUUGCAUCAUUAAUGGUAGUAUUAUUACUUUAUAUUCAACUUCUCCACUUGAUAGGAUGCAUGAAAGCAUUGUGCUUUCUUCUGUUUCAAGUAAUAAAGAUUAUCACCAAGAAAGGUGCAAUUAAUACCUAGUAACAGAGUACCUAGUGGUAGCAUGCACCUAUCCACUGAACUUGUACUCGACUCUAUGAGUGUACGUUACAUAGUCCUUUUUUCGAAGUCUAAAUGUCCCUUGAUAAAACCUUCUAAUAUUUGAGGUUUUGGUAACAUUCAUGUAUCAAUGAACAAAUUAAUUUACUAGCUAAACUUUAAAAUUAGGCAAUGUUUUUCAAUGGGUGAUCAAGAUCUUGGAAUUUUCAAUGUUGUUUGAAUAGCUUCCACACACAAGCAUAUUUUCUCCUAUUUAGGAAUAAUCCCUUUUUUGAAGGUGUGAUCUUUAUGCUCAAAAAAUAAAGAUACUCAAAAAUUUAAUAUUGACCUUCUCGUGAAGGAAAAGCUUUAUAACUAAUUUUUUUUGUGCAUUAUAUAUAUCCUCAAUAUAGACUUUAAAAAAAAAAGAAGUAACUCCCUCUACAAAGAGUGAAGAGUCAAUUAAACUUUUUUUUUUUUAAAAAAAAGGAACCAAUUACUCGUAAAAGUAAUGAUUAUUUUUACAUACCAAACUUGAGGAGAUUACUUAAGAUCACAAAAGUUUUUAUUAAAUUGCAAGCUAGAUGCAUUUGAAACGAUCGUUGAUGUCUUAGCAACACCUUAUGUAACUCAUCAAUCUUUAUGUAAAAAUGCAUUUUUAACACCCAUAUAAAAUAAUGAUCAAUCCUAAUUUAAUAGAAACAAAUGGUAAUACAUGAAUAUCAUUCAUAUUAAUGAGAAAAGUAAAUAUUGAUUUAUAAUCAACUUCUUAAGUUUGUGUCAAUGCCUUAAUCAUUAGUUUAACUUUGUCAUUCAAUGAUACCAUCAUUACGACAUUUAAUUAACUUAGAUUUGCGUAAAUCCCUUAAUCACUAGUCUAGCUUUAUGUCAUUCAAUGGUACCAUCAUUAUGGUAUUUAAUUGAUCUUAUACCCCCAAUUUGUAUACCCCAUGUUUUUCUUAAUUUACCAUACAUCACUUAACAAUGUUCCAUGCAUGGAUUUUGUUAAGUGCCUUAAGUUCCUUUUGCAUAGCCUUUCUCCAAAUUGGAUGAGGAUUGGCUUCAUUAAUGUCAUUAGACUCAUGAUAUAUGGAACUCAAACAAUUGUUAAGUGAUUUUGUAUAUAUAUAAAAAAAAAAUUGUAAUUAAUGUGGUAGGCAUAAAAAUCUCACAAAUGAGGAUUGAUUAAUUGUUAUAAUUGAGCAACAUGCUUGAGGCUUAGUCACAAUACUAGAACUUGAAGUCAGACAUUCUCUUCAAAUAAGGACGUAUAUACAUUAUAUUGGAUCUCCAUUAAACAAGUAAAGAACUAUUUAGUAGACAAUGAAACCUCAUUGAUCAAUGGUGGUAGAGAGACACAUGAUGACCAGACUAUUCCCCUGGAAAUGAGAAUAAAAAAUAUCAUUAGCCGCAAAAAUCUCAAAAAAAUUUAGAUAAUGGGAUAUAAAGAGUUUAUGAAUUUUACAAUCAUAACUCUUAUACUGGUUUAAGUGGUAGAGUAAUCAAGAACACAAAACGAGUUUGAUGAGUGGUUGAGAUAUGAACAAAGCAAAGAUUUCCAAAGACACCAAAAUCAGAAAUCUCAAUUUUUGGGCUAAGGAUUUCAAGAAGAAAUUUAAAAUUAACUACAUGACUAGAAAAUUUGUUCAUCAAGGAAAUAGAAGUAACGAUAUCAUAACAUCAUAAUUAAUCAAUAUUUUUAAUAACAUGCAUUUGGAACAUGAUAUACCGGCUUUCUAAUAAUCAAUGAUUUUUGGUUCAACCACACCAUUUUGUUUUGGGAUGCCAAUACAACAAGUUUAACGAANNNNNNNNNNNNNNNNNNNNNNNNNNNNNNNNNNNNNNNNNNNNNNNNNNNNNNNNNNNNNNNNNNNNNNNNNNNNNNNNNNNNNNNNNNNNNNNNNNNNAUGUAAGUGCCAAAUUAGGUAGUGUCGACAAUGAAAUGGAAAUUUUGGAAUAUAGAAACAACCUCAUUUUUAUGUUCUAAUAAGUAAACCUAUGUAGCAUAAGAAUAGUCAUUAAAAAAAAAGGUAACAAAAUGUUGAUUUCCAUCCUAUGGAUCAAUUAGGACACAACCCCAAGGUAAACUAAUUUGAAAGUUGCAACAAAAAUGGAAAGAGAUGAAAAAAUAAUAGAGGAAUUUAAGGUUGUUUCAAAAUUUCAAGACAUGCUAAGAAACACAUGAGAUUAUAGAUGAUUAGGUAACAACCUUGGUUAAGUAUAUUCAACAUAUAUAUCCCACGAGGAUAAAUAUCUUCACUAAACUUUUCCUAUUAUUCAAUCCCCUAAUACCAUACAAGUGAAAAAUUAAUGUCACGGUCAAAAAUUUUAAUAAGCUUCCAAAGAGAUAAUAAUUUUGGGGAAAAAAACAACCUAAGAAACCUAUGAAUUGAGAUAAUUUAGGAAAAAACUAAAUGUUCGUUAGCUCUAGAAGGGAAUUGAAGCUCAUCAUCAAUAAAGAUUGUUGCUAUCUCGAAUAAUAUCAAGUAAACCAUUAAGAUCGCUAUUAAUGGUAUGAUUAGCAGCACCAAUUAUCGACAAAAAAAUUAUUAAAAAUAUAAGAAAUGAGAGCUUUAAGAUUAUCUAAUUGAUUUGUAAACCUAGGUAAGUGAAUCAGUAUUACGUUUUGUUAAGGAAGCUUAGAUCCAAUUGGUAUCAUUCACCAAGUUAUUGGAUUAAAUUACACUAUCAAACUUUGGCUUUAAAUGAGAAUGAAGAAUCUAACCACAAUCCUUAUUGGGAUUAGAUAUGUUAUUGCAAUAAUGUUUACAAUCGGAUGAGUGCUAAUUUCUAUUGAAAUCAUGAAGCAAUCUCUGAUCAUUGGUCUUCUUUGUAGAAACAUGAGCAUUGAAUUUAAAAUUAAUAAUUGUUACUUGGGAUUCAACCUUCAUAAUCAUUGCCUGGGUUUCCUAAUCACUUUCAAGAAUUACUUAUAUAGUGAAGGCACUCGAAACUAAUCAAAUUUGUCCUCUUAUAAAGUUGUCAUAUUCAAGCUUCAGAAUAGCCAAUAAUUGAAAAACUUAUCAUACUCCGCAAUUUGUUGAAGAAUAUUUGGGUCUAUUGAAGGGGACAAUAUAGGGAAUAUUUGUCCCAUAUGCUCAAAAUGUUCAAUUAACAAAGUGUUCUGUAUGUUUAGGGAUUUGUUAGCUUUAAUUACACAAAACAUUAGCAGUUUUAGAGAAAAUUAAUUUUUUUUUGCAAUCUUAGGUUCCAUGAAAUUAAAAAGCCAAUAACAAGUCAAUAUGGCUUGAGACCCAGUCAUCAUAUUCAAAGUCAUCCAACUUAGAAGCAUUCAUUUUGCCACUAACAUGUGCUAAUUUCCAUUUUCUAUCUUUCAAGAGAAAAAGACUGCUCUUAACCAUGGCAAAUAAUUGAACCCAUUAAGAAGAUUGAGGAAAGUAUCAUAUGAGGGUUGUCAUUUUCCUCCAUGACAAAGAAAAAGCAACAGAGAAAAACUCAUAAUAUUAGAAAGAGAAUGAAAGAAAUUGAGUCAUAGAUACACACAGAAGAAUCCAAAAAUAAAGCAAUAAUACAACCACAAAUAUGAGAAGAAGCUCAAUUACAAAGAAAGGAACUCAAUACAAUCAACUAAAAAGCGUUCCGAAGUUCAUACGAAAAUAUUCAUAAUGUGAAGAUCAUUUCAUGAUUCCUACAAUUUCUUCCUUCUACCAGUCCACUCCAUACAAGGUUUGAUCAACAACUUCUUCAUUGAUUUUCUGGUCUCUCUCCGGUGUAUCAUAGAGCAUUUUUGACAUGUUUCUGCAAGAUACACUUGUUAACUUUAAGCGACAUAAGUGCAAAAAAAUAAGAUCAUGUUGUAUUGCCUGUGCUUCCACUCUGCCUUGUUUAGUACUAUUAUGGAGCAGUACUUCCAUAUAGAACCAGUGAUCUCCAGUUCAUUAUGUUGCCUUCUUUAAACUAACUUUAAUUAUCUAUACAUAUAAAACAAAGUGGUCCCAUCAAGGGGCUAAAUCAAGAAUCAAGUGGGGCGAACAGGAAACAGUGGCAUCAAUUUUUAAGUCCAUAAGCUUUAAUAAAAGGAAUAAAACCAAGGAUAUGAAUAUGUUAUUUUUUCAUUUGUUCAUGCACUGGAAGAUCUUUCCUCUUCAAGCAUUGAACCAGCAUCCUUCUGUGCAAGUUGCUGUCGGAACCUUCUAUAAUUGUCAGAAGUCUGUUUCUGAAAUAUACAGAUAAAACUUUUAGCAAGUCUUGACAUUGCUCAUCACUAGGACAUUGUACUAGGAUACCAAUUCAUCUAAUUAGGGUUAAGUUGGCAUCUCGUACACUAUUUUUUAUUUUUCCUUCAUCUUUUGUUCCCAUUUGCAGUGGAAGUGGCACUUAGAAUAUCUGAUCAUGAAGAAUUAGCUUUCGGUGAGAUGAUACUAGGUCAAUUGCCAUUAUCUUUUUGAGUUACUGUGCGAGCAAUCUUGAAAAUAUUUUGGGAUAAAUAGAAUUUGUGCUUAUCAUAAACAUGCUAAACAUCCAAAUCAAGUGCUUUUACUAUUGAUAUCAAAUCAGUAAUUGAUUUUAACCUUUAUGCUUAUCUUUCAGAUUCUCAAUUAUGUAUCUUGAAUAAUGAUAUUAAGCAGAAAUCAUGAAUUGAAUUGCUUUAAUUAACUGUGCCUUAUCAAGCUUGUCAGCAGUGCUAUUGCUACCGCGAAUCAAAUUCGCUGUGCUUCCCGCCUUCUCCAAAUAAGCCACAAGCCCAAUUAUAUCCGCCCUCCUCCCAUCUCCAAGGGAUCAAAAAAUAAAAUGACUUCAAUCAAUUUUCAAGUUUUCCAUCUUGAUCAGUAGACCACCCGGCAUGAAUGUUACCCUCAGUUUAGGAAUAGGAAUUCCUUUUACUAAUCAUUUGGCACUAAAAACUAUGACCCCUAGCAAUUCAUUCCCUCCAUUAGAUAUCUGGGGGCAUCUUGGCUCAGCCAAAAAUGAUAAGUCAUUGCAUUUCACAUUGCAUUCAUUUGUAUUAAUGAGCUAAUUUUUUUUCACAGAAUGUGAUGUGAAUCGAAUUACUUCCAACCAUGUGUCUCUAUAAGGGUUUAACAAAUGUAAUUUGCAUUGUCUGUACACUUUUUUUUCGGUUUCUUUUCUUUUUUAUGCAUGAUUCAUUAGUCCACGGAUCUUCUAUGCAAAGUGUGCAGGCCAAACACCUCCUUCAAUGCAUUAUUCUAGAAGUUAAGACUCAGUUUACUCCUUAAUUGAUCUGUUCCAUUUACUUCAAAUCAUUUGAUUACAUUAAAUGAAUCUUGAAAUUCAAAAAUGCAUCAAAGUUAAAAGACCUUCCAAUGCAUUAAGAAAUCAUCUGAUACAAAUAUAUGUGAACCUGCAACAACAAUAAUGUCAAAAUGGAAAACUUAGGUAGAAAAUAUUAGAACGGAAACUUACGACGAACUCAAUUUUUGGCGCCUUUCUUCUUCUCAUCUUCUGAUCCAAGAAGCUCUUCCAACACCGUGUCAUCCAAACACUCGAACUCAAUGACUUGCUUUUCUUGCCCAGAAGAGGAACCUCCCAUCUCUAAACUCCUACAAGGCCCAGAAGAUGACGAGGAAGACGAUGAGGAUGGUGAUGGUGGGGGGCGAUGGGAGCCCAUGAUUUCAGAAUAGUACUCAUUAGGAAAGUUAAGAAUGGCAAGAUGACCCCUUAAGUUAAAGGCCGCUCGAUCAUAGGCGCGAGCUGCAUCCUCCGCCCUGUCAAAUGUGCCUAGCCAUAGACGAGCACCUUGCCUAGACGGAUCCCUAAUCUCGGCUGCAAACUUCCCCCAUGGCCUCCUCCUCACCCCUCGGUAUCGAACUUCUUCCUUUUCCUUCCCUUCCUGCUCCUGCUUCUCAUUCCCUUUCGAAUGAUCUUCCAUGCUAAACGUGUCGAUUUGCUAGGCGCAAUUUUUUUGGUUUCAAAUGUGCUGGUUUACGAGAGGCAUGGAUGCUUAUGUAUAUAUAUGGUUGCCACAGUCAGGUCUGACGUCACCGCUCAAUGUAUGUUCCACAGCGUGGGUUGACGAGCUUUCUGAGGGGGUUUCCUCGAAUUCAAAGCAAGUAUAAAAAUUCGAUUCUCCGACCUUUCCAAUGAGGAUCGAACAGGCCUUUUAUUAGAACCGUAUGAUAACUCCACACUGUUUUCAAAUAGUCAAUGUGAUCUAGAUUCUUCGUUAAUUUUUUCCACCUGACUGAUUGUUUACAAUUUUAUUUUUCACCGUCCCAAAUUUAAACCAUUUACGCGAUUCCCUGGAUUGCAUUUUUCUUUAAUGUUGACUUUACGAGGCAAUAGGACCCCCCAGCAACCCCACUAGGGCGACUUCAUGGGAACCAGAUUACUUUUGGAUCCAGAUAUGGUCCAGAAGAAAUAAGACAAAUCAAUUAAUGUCCACUAAAGUUUUGAUGGAACCCUUAGUCCGUGUUUCCUGUGGAUGUAUGUAUUGUAUGCACCUCAAUUUUCACCAAUCCCUGCUACGAGUCCCUUUAAUUUUGACGUUAUAAAUGUUUUUCCUGACAUUAGCAGAGUGUUUUUCUGCCGUCUUUGAGGACCUUCCACGGCCCAUAAACUAAUAAGGAUCGUCCAGUGAAUUUAGUCUUCCCCAGUUAAUUAUCCUGCGAGGGAAACUUGGGCAGUAAGUUGCCUACAUGAGUGGCUCCCGCCUACAUGAGUCAAGGGACCAUACGUCAGGACGACAACCAGUGUGGUCACACCAAAGUGGGUUGCCUGGACUCCAGGGUGGUCGCUUCAAAGUUGUCAAAUGAAGGCUAGCUUGGCAAGUUUUGGAAAACAAUUAUUGAAAAACAUUUUUCAUGAAUAACAGUUUCUAUGAACAGAUUUUAAGAAAGUUUAUUUUGUGAUUUUUAGGAAUAUUUUUAAUUUAAAUUUUUAUAUUUUUAAUUUUUUAUUAAUUUAUUGAUUAUUUAAUAUUAGCUUAAUUAAUGGAUUUUUCUUGGUCCCAAAUUAUUAAUUUAUCAAGAUUUAAUCGCAUCCAUAAUUAGUCUAAUUUCUUUUGGAGUGAGUGUGACAAAGUGCAAAUUUCUAGAGUUUUAUUAAUGUUAUUCAAUGUCAUAAUUUAACUAAUUAUAUUAAUUAUUUAUUAAUCAAAAUAAAUCAUUCACUUGAAAUAUGAUAAUUUAAAUUAAAAGUUUCAAUUAUUUAUUAAUUAGCAAAGUAUGAACUUUUCUUCUUGUUUUAUUAUUGUUAUUCCAUGUAUAUAAUUUAAUUAACUGUUUCCAAUAUUAAUCAAUAAAAAUAGAAUAUAAGCAUGAGAAGAAUUAGUAAAAUUCAUUGAUUUGGAAUUAGAUAGCUAGAGGAAGAACUUCAUCAUCUUCCCAUUACUUAAAUUUGUAUAAAUUCUAAAUAUUUAAACCCCCCCCCCCCCCCCCCCCCCCAAAAAAAAAAAAAAUGGUAAAGAAAGACUCCCCAAGCUUUCUUGGUUGGUGUUACCCUAAAAUUUGUACAAUAAGAUGAACCAUUUGGCUUAAAGCUUGGUGCGAAACCCCUUAUCAAUUGAAAAUAUCAAUGAAGUUGUUGAAUGGUUUUAGAGGACUAUUCUUAUGCAGAGUGGCAUAAGAAGCGAGGAGAUGAAGAGCGGAGAGACGUUAACAUCGGAUGCUGCUACGAAGGUGGGAAUACGGUUAAUUAAUUAGAUUUUGUGAUGGCUUUGAGUUUGAAGGAGUUAGUUUAAUGGGUAUUAUUAGUGAACUGAUAAUUGGAUUUGAUGUAAAGAAGGUUGGUCCAUUGGAUUAGCAAUUGGUUUGGCCUUUUGGGGGCCCCAUUUCCAAAUGCAUUGCCUUUUACAAGCAUUCAACAUCGCUGGACGUAACCAGGCUUGGUUCACCUAAAAGUAUCGCAUGGAUUGAAUUGACUAAGUUUUCAUUGUAGACUAGCCUUGAUUUUCCCUUGACCUGCCCACCAAAUCCUGAUGCCCACGCGAGGGAAUACCUCAAUUUUCUAAUAAUUUAUGCAGUUUCUCUUCAAAGCUCGUGUGAUCACUUGGGUCGGUAAAAUAAUGCAUUCCUCUACUUUUUCUCCCUUCCUAGAUGCAUGUUAUACCAUUAAUUCAAAUGUGAACAUGGGCUUGGCUUUGAAACUUGGUUCAAGGCCCAACAUGUUGACCCACAAUUGAGGUGUAAUUGAAUUUGUACACUUUUCGACUUUGAUACCAUUUGUCAUUACCAUUGACAUUGGGUCAUUGUUGAUUUUGAGUCCACAACUUUUAAGGUUGUUAUUACAAUUUUAAAUUGCGCCCACCCAAUUUAUAUGCAUUAUCCCUUAUAAAUACCGAUAACCUCUCUUUCUUCGAUAAUAUAAAAUGUCACAUAUAUUAUAUAUCUCAAUGUUUUCUUUUACUUUUUUUUUUUUUAUCGAUCGACAUUCUCUCUCAGAUGAUAUGAGAUGUCACAUAUAUUAUAUGUUUCAAUGUUUCUUUUACUUUUUCUCUUUUUCCUCAUGAUUGACAUUGUCUUUCUCAAAUGAUAUGAGUUGUCACAUAUAUUUUAUGUCUCAAUGUUUUCUUUAACUUUUUUUCUCUCUUCUUUAAUGAUCGACGUUCCUUUUCUCAGAUGAUAUGAAAUGUCAUAUAUAUUAUAUGGCUUAAUGUUUUCUUUUACUUAUUCUUUCUUUAUUAAUAAUCGACAUUUUAAGCAAUAUGUGAAUAUAAAGCAUUAAAAUUAUCUCCAUCGUUUUUGGAUGUGGUAUAAAUACACAAUUCUUAUUUUUGUUUUAAAUAUUUCUAUUGCUAUCUAUUGAAAUUUUAUGCAUGAAGCUACCAAGUUAAUUAUACAUAUAUCUUAAGAUUUUUUUUUUUUUUUUUUAUAGGAUAUAUUGUCCAUGAAUAUUUUCUGCAAUGGUAUCUUGUUUGAUUACUAUAAGAAAUAAUAUAUAUAUAUAUAUAUAUAUAUAUAUAUAUAUAUAUAUAUAUAUAUAUAUAUAUUAUAUUUCAAUGUUUCAUAUUUGCUUAAAAUAAAAAUUAUAUUUUAUCACAAUAUUUGGUAUUAAAAAAAAUGAAAUCUCUCUCAUUUAUUAUUACAAAAAAAUUAUAAUUUAUAAUUUUCUAAAUAAGUUUUAUUUAUUUGCUAACUAUAUUCAUGAUUAAAAGAUUUAAAAUUUAUAAAUAAAAAAUAUUAUGUCAUGUCAUUAAAUAAAUAAAAAUAUAUGUAUAUAUUAAAAUUAUGUUUUAUUGUAGCUUUUAAUAUUUUUUUUUUUAUUCUUUUCUUUUUUGAACUACAAUUUUAAUUUUUUUUAAUCAAAAUUUUUUAAUUUACAAAACGAGUAACAUAAAACUUGCCUUUGAACUUUAUUGGAAUGUUAUAUACUACCAUUUGGCUUUCAAGACAUUAGAAAAGGCAUAAGUGUCCCUUUUAUUUUUCCGAAAGGCAUAUUAGACUAUAGUAGGAAGUGUUGUAUAGAGGCAACUAAAAGUUGCCUUUAACUUUAUGAAGUCAUAUACUCCUCUUUGGCUUUGAUGACAUCAACUAGCAAAUUGGAUUUUGUUUCCUUUGCAACAUUUUUCCAUCCAUUAGCCAGUUUUUUUAUACUGUUUGGUGCUUGCCAACAUGGCACACACUAUGGUUCUUAAAAAGUAUUUUUUUUUUUAAGAUACUACGAAAUAAAAUACACGAUUGAAAGAUGAGUCACAAUAAUUUUCAAAACUAAAUUUUUUAAUAUUGUUAAGAAAAUUUGACCACCAAAUGAUUGAUUUUAAAUUACAAAUACUUUUGUUAGCUAAGAAAUUUGUUGUUCUAUUUGUUUCCCUAUAAAUAUGACAACAAUCAUAAAUAUUUUCAUUUUAAGAUAAUUUUCAAAUAUCUUCCAUUAAUAAUAUAAUAGAAUUAGGAAUUUUUUUUUUAGUUAUAACAAUCUAUAAUUAUUUAAGAGUCUUCCUCAAUCUCUAGGUUUAAGAACUUAUUGUUCUUAACAACUAACAUGUCAUCUCUUAAAAUAAUACAUUCUGCAAUAAUUAUUGAAAUAUGAUAUAAUAUAUAUAUCUACUUACAACCAUUUUUGUAGUACCAUUAGAAUUUUUAAUUACCCAUUCUAAAGUAUUUUUAUUCUCUAUUCUUAAACCAUCAAAAUUUAAUUUAAAUCUUUCAUUAAUUGGAUAAAUCCAAUGAAUCUAACAAGUUAAAGGAUUAUGAAUCCGACAAAACAGUUGAUAAUAAAUUAAUAAUGCCAUUAAUAUGAUUUUAAUGUGAAACACAAUUAUCACAUUUAAUACAGUUAGUCCUUGUAUGAUUAAUGUUUUGGAAGCUAAAAUCAAUCUUUUGACUAUAAUAAGAGUUUCUACUAUUUCUAUUUUUGGAUGAUUUUAUAUUUUUCUUAUUGUUUUAGUUUAAUACAAAAAAUAAAAAUAAAAUUACAUUAGUAGAAUUUUUUUAACUUACUCAAAAACCUAUUUUAGUUGAAUGAUUUUUUUAAAAAAAAUAUAAAUAUUUUGUUAAAAGGGAUAAAAUAACCUUACCUUGUGAAAAAGACCUCUUCACCCAAGAUUACUUGUUCAUAAUCCUUUUAAGACGAAAAUGCCCCCUUCCUAAAAAAUAUUUCAUCUUAAACUUAUUUUUCUUUUUAUUGCCCUUUGUUCCAUCCUUCCGGCUUGGGAGAGAAAUUCAUUCUUCUUUUGCGAAGAAAAAUUCCUAUUGCGAUUUUUCAUUUCAAGUGGAAAAAAAAAUUCUUAUUUCAUUUUAAAGAAAUUGUACAUUUUCAAUCUUUCUCUUUGUUCCUAGUUGAGGGUUUUUUUUGUAAUUUUAUCUUAACACUACAAAUUUAAAGGUGAGAUUAAAUCUUAAUGGUUAUUAGUUAAAUCACAUAUCUAACUUUGUUUUUGUCAGGACCUAUAAUAUGAUUGGAACCACCAUCCAAACUUCAUUAGGUGGGAUACUCCCCACCCUCCCCCUCCCCCCGCGAAAUCCUUGGAUUUUAGUUUUGACUUGGAUUUCAAUUGCCCGUAUCAAUUUUUCUUUAUUUAUUAAUUUAUUAAUUUUCAACUUUAACAAAAGCCUUGAAUCAUAUUUAAAUUCAAAUAACUUAAUCCUAAUUAAGUUCUUUUUAAAUAAAAAUUAAUCAUUGAAAAGUUCAUGUGACUAUUAUAAUUGAGAAUUUAUCCCAAGUUGGGUUUUUUGCAAAUAAAAUUUUAUUAUAGGACAUCAUGAUGCAACAUAACAUAAGGUUGUUACUUAAGUUUGUUUUGACCUUGUAAUAUGUUAAAAUGAAAAUGAAGCCAUUGUAACAGGAGAGAAUGAUGAAGCUGUGGAGAGAGCUUAACAAAGCUUGGGUUGGAGAGACUUCACAGGAAGAGAGAGAGAGAAAUAAAGGGUAAAAUUAUCAAAAGAGAAAAGAAAAAAAAAAAAAAAAAAGAAGGUUAUGUCUUCAAAUAAUCAAUAAGAGAUGUCAUUUUUCUAAUUUUCAAAGUUCUUUUGGUCCUUCUCUACAAAUAUCCCUAUAAAAAUAUUAUAAUAUCAAGUUAAUUUGUCAAUACCAAAAUUUAUAUUUUAUAUUAGGGCGACUAAAUAACAUAUAGAAAGAAUUUUAAAUGAGUAAAUCAAAUCAAUUUUGAAACCAAAACUUAAUAAUUACCAAACUUGUAAUCUUAGUCAUUAAAAGUGUACGAUGAAAUCUAAAUUAUUAAGCAAUGAAACAAAAAAUUAAGAUUAAAAUACAAAACGUUAAAAUCAAGAUACAAACUAUUAAAAUGUAAGUGGGAUAUGAGAUGAUAUUAUAAAAAAUAGUGUGAUCCAACAAAAAGUCUAGUACAUCAUUAUCUUCACUUCCAACCAUGUUUAAAAGGUCACAAGUUCUAGCGGUUUCCAAGGACAAUGUUAAAAAUAAUAAAAAUAAAUCCAAUUAAAUAUUAAUUAAUUUAUUUGAAUUUGAGUCCGACAAAAUAGUUGGUAAUAAGUUAAUAAUGCCAUUAAUAUGAUUUUAAUGUGAAACACAAUUAUCACAUUUAAUACCCGUUAGUCCUUGUAUGAUUAACUUUUUAGAAAUUAAUAUCAAUCUUUUGAUUAUAAUAAGAGUUUCUACUAUUUAUAUUUUUGGAUGAUUUUAUAUUUUUCUUAUUGUUUUAGUUUAAUACAAAAAAAUAAAAAUAAAAUUACAUUAGUAGAAUUUUUUUUAACUUAUUCAAAAAACCUAUUGUAAGGUGAAUGGUUUUUUUAUUUUUUUUUUAAAUAUAAAUAUUUUCUUAAAAGGGAUAAAAUAACCUUACCUUGUGAAAAAAGGCCUCUUCACCCAAAUUUACUUGUGCAUAAUCCUUUUCAGACGAAAAUGCCCCCUUCCUAAAAAAUAUUUCAUCUUAAACUUAUUUUUCAUUUUUAUAACCCUUUGUUCCAUCCUUAUGAUUUGGGAGAGGAAGUCAUUCUUCUCUUGUGAAGAAAAAAUUCCUACUGCCAUUUUUCAUUUCAAGUGAAGAAAAAUAUUUAUAUUUCAUUUUAAACAAAUUGUACAUUUUCAAUCUCUCUUUGUUCCUAGUUGAGGUUUUUUUUUUUUUUUUUUUUUUUUGUAAUUUUAUCUUAAUUGUACAAAUUCGAAGAUGAGAUUAAAUCUAUAAUGGUUAUUGGUUAAAUCACUUAUCUAACUUUGUUCUUGACAGAUCGUAUAAUAUGAUUGGAACCACCAUCCUAACUUUAUUAGGUGGGAUCCCUUUUUUUUUUUCCCCAAACCCUUGGAUUUUAGUUUUGACUUAUAUUUCAAUUGUCUGUAUCACUUUUUCUUUAUUUAUUAAUUUUCAACAAGUUCUUUAACAAAAGCCUUGAAUCAUAUUUAAAUUCAAAUAACUUAAUCCCCAUUAAGUUCUUUUUAAAUGAAACUUAAUCAUGUGAAAGUUCAUGUGACUAUUAUAAUUGAGAAUUUAUUCUUAGUUGGGUUUUUUGUAAAUAAAAUUUAGUUAUAGGACUGUGAUGAUCCGUUCUCAACCGUAUAAAUAUUGUUCGUUUUGAAUUCAAAAUAACUUUUACGGCUUUAAAACAUGUUUACAAGAUUAAGAGGAGUCCAUAUUUAUAUAGCUUCACGAACUUUCCCCCCUAUUCGAUGUGGGAUGUCACAAGGACAUCAUGAUGCAACGUAUAACAUAAGAUUGUUUCUUAAGUUUGUCUAACCUUGUAAUGUGUUAAAAUGAAGAUGAAGCCAUUAUAACAGAAGAGAAUGAUGAAGUUGUAGAGAGAGCUUAACAAAGCUUGGGUUGGAGAGACUUCAUAGGAAGAGAGAGAGAGAGAGAGAGAGAAAUAAAGGGUAAAAUUAUCAAAAAAGAAAAAAGAAAAAAAAGAGGGUGAUGUCUCCAAAUAAUCAAUAAGAGAUGUCAUUUUUCUAAUUUCAAAGUUCUUCUGGCCCUUCUCUACAAAUAUCCCUAUAAAAACAUUAUAAUAUCAAGUUAAUUUGUUGAUACCAAAAUUUAUAUAUUAUAUUAGGAUGACUAAAUAACAUAUAGAAAGAAUUUUAAAUGAGUAAAUCAAAUCAAUUUUGAAAUCAAAACUUAAUACCUACCAAACUUGUAAUCUUAGUCAUUUAAAGUGUUCCAUGAAAUCUAAAUUAUUAAGCAGUGAAACAAAAAAUAUAAGAUUAAAAUACAAAACGUUGAAAUCAAGAUUCAAACUAUUAAAACGUAAGUGGAGACGUAAGAUGAUGUCAUAAAAAAUAGUGGGAUCCAACAAAAAGUCUAUUAAUCAUUAUCUUCACUUCCAAUCAUGUUUAAAAGGUCACAAGUUCUAGCGGCUUUCAAGGACGAUGUUAAAAAUAAUAAAAAUAAAUCCAAUUAAAUAUUAAUUAAUUUAUUUGAACAAUAGAUAGGACCAAAAUAAUAUUCUAAAAGGAAUCAUAGGGAAGUCCUUGGACAACCUACGACAUUGAACAAAGGUACAGUGAGACAAUGCACUUAGCCCUUCCUUGUCAUUGCGAUGAAUAUAAAAAGACACCCUGAUUGAGGGUGCCCCACUAAGCCAAGAGUGAUUCUUUUGUAUUGUAUAACGUGAAUAUUUUUGAACUUUGAAUGACCCUUCCUAUAGUCAUCAUUGUCAAAACUAGAAAAUCAGAAAGAUGCGAUGUACGAAGGCACCAUUGAAUAAGAGGCUUAAUUCUCUUUGGCAAUUAGGAUAAAGUUUCAAAAUAGAAAAAUUAAACAAAUGUACAGUGUACGGACACUUGGGCAUUGCCUAUUUGUUUUGUUCUUCUAGAGUUGUAUAUGGUAAAGGUCAUAUUGGGUUGGUUCUAUUUGGUUAUUGAAGUCGGCUAGAAUAUUAGAUUUGGUUUCAAUCUAAUCCCAUAUGAUAUUAGAAUACCAGCCCAUACAGAAUUUUUGACCAAAUAUAAUAUUUCUUUUAAAUAUAAAUAUAGUAAUUAAUUUUAGUCUAAGAUUAAUUAUGUAGUUUCCUAAAGAGACCACUUCCUAAACGGUAGCUAUGUGGAAGUUGGGCCAGGUCCUGCCGAGAAGGUUUCCACGAGCUGAGCCCAAAACUGAGUAGCUGUGAUGGGAUCAUUCUAGCAUUCAGCCUGAAACUUGUAACAUAACGGAUCGAGAGGCCUGAACUCCAAGACCAUGGUUCGUCAGCCCAUUAACUUCAACAGCACGCAUUUUAGAGGACUGGGCUUGCAAGGGGUGAGGUUUCCGGGCCGCGACCCCAAAUAUGAACAGCCUCAGAAGUGAUAUUGCUUACUGGCACGUGAAGAGCGCAAGCGUAACUAGAAGAUUUGUAAUGCCGCUUUAAUUGUUUGAUUAUAGAAUCCCACGCAUUACGCAUGGAAAGUGUAAAAGAUAAAAGAUGUAGAAUUUUUUCUUAGAGAAAAGUUCGUUUGGAUAUAGUUAUUGUUUUUUUUUUAAAUAAUAAUUGUUUUUUUUAUAAAUUAUAGAUAAUCUUAGAAAUUUAUCUUUAAAAAAAUAGUUUUUAAAAAUAUUUAAGGAGAAUAAAAGUGAUAAAAAAAAACUUUACAAUUUCAAAUUUUUAAAAAAUGAAAAUUAUUUUUAAGAAUAUAAGUUAAUCUCCUGCAUUUAAAUCUUAGGUGGUUUUUGUUUUUUUUACUUUUCGCUGAAAACAAUUUGUUUUCAAAAUUUAGGUCAUUUGUUUUUUCUAUUUUUUCAUGAUUUAUUAUAAAUUUUUUACUAAAUAAAAAAAAUCAAAAUAUGUAACUUUUUCUAAAUAAAAAAAAUAACGUAUUGAUUUUUCUUUACUUUUUAAUACUUAAUAGAUAUAAAAUACUACAAAAACAAAAAAUCUAAUAUUUAACACUAUUAAGCAUUAAAGUUCUAUUUAGAAUUAAGUAAAAAAACAAACACCACCUUAUAUUUUAUAUAAAAGUUACUUAUAUUUUGGUUUUUGGAAAUAAAAAAUAUAAAGCAUAUCCAAACAUGAGCUUAGCUAUUUUAAAUCAUAUCAAAAUAAUAAUCCCAAUAAGGUAAAUGGACUUUUAUACGGAGAAUAAUCUUUAAGGUUUUCAUUUUUAUUGGAUUUUUUUUUUGUGGUGUUUUUUCAAUCCAUCUUCUCAAUUAAUUCCUUAAAAUUAUUUUACUGUUUUUUUUUUUUUCAGUUUCUAAAUAUUUGAUUUUUCCAAAAUGCUUAAAUGGAAGACACUAAUUUUUCAAGAUAUUUGGUAUUACAAUUUUCCCUGUUCUCCCUAUUAUCUAUCAGAUUCAUGGCCCUUUUGUUUUUUCAUUGGUUUUCAAUUUAAUUUUCCAAAUAUUACAUUGUUGUGUUUUGAAUUUGUGAAACCAAUUUUAUAUAUAUAUAUAGUAUGUAAGUCUACUUUGGGUAACAUGUACAGAGAGGUUUUCAUGUGUUUGAAACCUUUUACCUCAAAAAUUAAUUAUUUUUAAUUUUAUAAUAAAUCUUUUUUUAUUUUUUAUUUUAUUUAGGAAAGCCUAUAUUUAAACUACAUGUUUGCAACGCAACACCAUACAUACUCCUAGUGGAACUUACCUUAGUGCUUGAGGGGGAUGCAGAUCUUCUUCUAAACCUAACUAAUAAGCAUAAAAUUGUUCACUAAUUAGCAUAUCUAGUAAAUCAUACAAAUUGGCAAUAUUUCAUGUUUUUCAUGUUUUGUCAAUAAAAGGCGUCUUGACCAUUUUGUGAGUUUUGUAAUAAAUAAAAAAAAAAAAAAAAAAAGGGCAAAAGGUGACUAAAAUGAGGCACUUUGGAAAGGUUAAUAACCUAAAAGGAAGAUGAAUUAAUACCCCCUUAUUCCUCUUCAAAAACCAUUGAGAAAAUGCAAGAAAUGCUCUUAGUUGUAUGCUAGGCUAACAGCCUAGCAACCAUAAUACCCUUCUUUGCAAUUGUAAGCAUUUUUUUUUUUUUUUUGAAGGCCAAACAACGUUGCAAACUUCCCAAAUCCCUUCUUUAUUUUUUAUUUUUUUAUUUUUGUUUUUAGAAGGAGAAUGAAUUUGAUGACAAACUCCUUGUCAAUCUUAUCCAAACCACGAUCGAACAGAACUCCUUGUCAAUCUUAUCCAAACCGUGUUCCACCUCAAAAACAUGUGUAGGACUUAAGGCAGCAACUGGCAAGCAUGACUGAUAGGGCCAAGUGCCCUUGUCUCUACAAUCCAUUAAGUUAACCAAGGGCAGUGAACCAUCAUUCUUUUCAAAAGCUUCAUUCCGUGUUGAAAAUGUGAGACUGAAGCAUGGUGCCCCCAAAAAUAACGAUCUAUUUACUAGCAGCAUGCCUGGACCCAUUAAAAAUACUCUACUUUAGGAAUAGAAAAAAUUACAUCUUUAUCCAAUAAUUUUAUAACAAUUCAGACGUUUCAGUCUAUAAAUAAUUGUACAUAGUUGCCAACGUUUAGCUAGUUUCAAAUGAAUAGCCUAGGUUCAUGCACCAGUUUGGCUGGUGGAGGAAAGGGAUUCGAGACAUUGAACCCUCUUUUUAGUGUGCCAAAUAUUCCACAAAAAUCACUACCUUCUCUUUGUGUUUGUUCACUUUUAGUUUAUAUUUAAUAAAUCUAUGUUUUCGAGUAGAGGUUGGGUUCAGGUGCGACCCACGUCACCUCUCGGACGGUCUUGAAAAAGGAGACCGGACCACGUAAUUUCAAAUGUAGUGACCAUCUCACUUUUACCUCCAUCCUUGAAGAUGGUUUCCCAAAUCAAUAUUAAUCUUUUGUUUACGACAAUAUCGAUCACUUUAUGUCUAUAUCGUUGUUAAUUUACCUUUUUUUUUUAGCCACAUUAUUUGAAAAUUGAUGCAAACUUUACCAACAUCUUGGUACCAUUUUAAAAUAUUAGAGUUAUUUGAUUAAAAAAAUAAAAUAAUCUCGAUAACUUGUUUAUAAAAUAAAUAUCUUUUAACAUUUAGACUAUUCUCACGCAUGCUUUAAAAUUGUAAAGAUAUUCAUAAAGUGGAACUUUAGACUUAAUCAAUAUCGAUCACUUUAUGUCUCUAUUGUUGUUAUAUUUUUUUUUUACAACAUUAUUUGAAAAUUGAUGCAAACUUUACCAACAUCCUAAUACCAUUUUAAAAUAUUAGAGUUAUUUGAUUAAAAAAAUAAAAUAAUCCCGACAACUUGUUUAUAAAAUAAAUAUCUUUUAAUAUUUAGACUAUUUUCACCAUGCUUUAAAAUCAUAAAGAUAUUUAUAUUCAUAAAGUGGAACUUUAGACUUAAACAUGAUAAUAGUUUUUUUACAAUAUUAUAAUUAUUUUAUCGUUUUAAUUAAGCCCUUUAUCAUACAUAUAAAUGUAAAUUAAUGCUAAAUUUUUAAAGCAACGUAUAACCUUUUACAUCUUUUUUUAAGAUGGUGCGAAAAUCCUAUGAAAAAUAAUAAAAGUCGAUGCAUAAGAAGAUUGUUUUGAUAAUUCAAUAGAAAAAUUCUUUUAAAAUGAUAUUAAAAAAUACCCAUAGAGCCUUUAUUAAAAAAAUCAAUUAUUUUCAUAAUAAAAAUUAUAAUUUUUUAUUAUGUAUUAUUAUUUUUAAGUAUCUUUAUUACAAAUACUUUUUUUGAGUUUAUGAGAGGAAUCAACAGGUUGGUACAAGCUUAGGCGUCCUCGUACAUGUUCCCGCUGUGCAAGGUUUUUGUCUUGUUUCGAGCUAGUCGGAAUUUACGUGUUUGAUAACGUUUUGUCCUAUUUUUGUAACGCUUUAAAGGGCGGCCCACCGUUGGAACAGUUCAAGCCAUCCAAAUCAGCCCGGAGGGUUAUGGCGACGUGGCAUGACGCCUACCACCUUAGUUCACAUGAACCCUAUGAUCGUACUACCCUCACAUGACAUCUGUGAUUCUUCACCUCCAAACCCUCUUUAACUUGGUAAUGUAUUCAAAGCUUCAUCAAAUCAUAGCGAUUAGCGACCCUCUUCCACCCUAAUUUUAUAAUAAAAAAUAAAUCUUAGUGGACAUUAAAGUAGUAUUUUGUGGGGGGAAAGAAAAACUCUAUGGGCGUAUCCACUAAAUACGAGCCAAGUAUAAGAGUUAUCACCAUGGAAUCAAAUUAUGAAGCAUUGACAUUUUAAUUGUAUUCAGAUUUGAGGAGGGCACCGCGGCACCAGCUGGCCCAGUGUAGUCUGCUAGCCUACCCGCCAUAAUGACCAAAUUAAUAAAGUAAAAAGGAUUACAGGGAUAUUCCCAACUUUAUUCUGGGUCUGAGCUGGAACUUGGGAGUUAUCACGAUCAACGGGAAAGAUGGUGGGUAGGGGACGAGGAUUGAGGGCUCCAUAUUCACAUCAGUGAAAAACGAAAUGUAUUGAGACAAGUCUUCUAAGGAUUUUCUAGCGUAUUAUAUGGUUUAAAUGAUUAUAAAUCUGUAGUUACUGGUAAAGAGUAGAGAGUGAAGACGAAAGACGUUGAGUGAAAAGGAAGGAGGAGAGGGGAUGGGGCCAUCUUACCGUGUCGGGGAGGAUCCAUAAAAGGACUACGUUCCCUGAAUCUGUAGGCAUCAUGCCUCGCCUAACGGGUUAGUCAAAAUACAGUGAUGUGUGUGAGUUGGGGGCCUCACUCCUCAUUUCUUUCCUUCUUUUCACCCCCACCCCCACUUUUUUUUUUUUUUUUUCGAAUUUUUCUUUGUCCUUUUCUCUCACUUGCGCACGCGGGAGAAGGACCACAAACUAGACAAUUCCUCUGCUCACGUGACCCCGAGUUUUUAAAUAUUUGCCUAUUUGGAAAAUAGUCAUGAAUCAUGAUCGUUAACAAACAAUCUUCACUUUAUUUAUUUAAGAUCUAUUUUUUGGAGCUCUAGUUUAGUUUAUUAUUAUUAUUAUUAUUAUUAUUAUUAUUAUUAUUAUUAUUUAGUAACUCCUCUUAUAUUAAUGAAAAAGAGAGGAGGAAUCCAAACUUGUUUAUUCUUCCUCUUUUAAGGUGUUUGUUUUUUUUAUUUUAUUUUUAUGCUUCAUAUGUCUUCAAUUUCUUAGCAUUUGUCUUAUAUUUCUUCUUAUCCGAUUCAUUAUUGCAUCCUUGGUCAAUCUUUCACGAGGAGUGCCUACUUUUUUCCUUUUUAUUAUUUAAUUCACUUUAUCUUUAUAUUUUCCUUUUACACUUUAUUUCCAAUUCAAAACGUGUCAAAAAAAAAAAUUGGUAACAAAAAAAAAAAAAAAAAUCAAUUGUAAUGAUUCUUAUAUAAUUUUAUUUAAUUUUUAUUAAACAAUAAAGAAAUUAAAAAUAUAUAAAUUUUUAAAUAAUUAUUAUAGUCUUUCAUUUUUGUGUAUAAUUUCUUUUGCAAGAAAUAGUGUAGGCUUUCCACGGUCUAAAGGAAAUGGAAUAUCAAAUGAGAAGGUAAUAAUAAUAAAGUGAGUUAUAGAUACUAAUCAAACUAAUCCACUAAUGAAUUAUUUAUUUUUAUUUCACAUGGACAAAUCCUAAAAGUUGGAGUUCUAAUUUACUUUUAUGUUAAGCUUUUUUAAGUAAAAAUCUUUUAUUAUUAUAAUUUAUAGACAAAAAGAAACCCAUUAAUGUGAUGGAUAAAAAAUUUCAAUUUAAAAAAAAAAAAAUUAAAGUUGCUAAAUUUUUGUAUUUAUUAUUUCAAACUCAUUUAAAUAAUUUAAAAAUAUGUCUUCAAUUAAUUUUAAUGAAACAAAGCAUGAUUUUUUUUUAAUUUUUUUUUCUUUACCAAAUAAAGCAUUAUUAUAAUACGUUGAUUAAAUUUUCAUCAUGUCUCUCAAGAUUUGGAUUAAAUAUACUUAGUUGUCAUAAAUUUGAAAUUUUAUUUAAUGUAUUUUUUAUUUUAAAUUAAAAAGAUGAAUGCAAAUAAAAAAAAUAUGUAUAUUUUAUAAAAUUUUAAAUUAAACGAAGGAUACGUGUAUUUAACCAAGGUGAAUGAAAUUAAUCCAAAUACUUUUUGGUAACUUGCAAAAUAUCUUGACGAAAUCAUUAUGGCAGGCAUCGUACAAGCUCAACCCUUGUCGCCUUGCUAGAAAUAGAGAAACAAAAAGACCCCCAAAUUGGGUUGCAUCCUAAAUAUGAAGAAGUGGUAACAAAGGAAGAAAAAAUGCUGUGUUAUUGAAUAGUUAAUACAUUGAACAUGAUAUGUUACAUAGAGAGCCAGAUUAAUCCUAGUGGAAUUCCACUGUCACGAUGGUAACCUAGGGUUAUGUUUGGUUAUUGAAAAUACCAAGAAAAGAAAAAAAAAUAUAAAGGAAAAUAAUUUUUUCAUUUUUGAUUGUCUUAUAAAAGAUAUAAAAAAAAAACAAAUAUAAUUAAAACUAAUUAAAAAUUUAGGUAUUUUUAAAUUAUUUAAUUUUUAUAUUAAUGAGCGAAAAUAAAUAAAAUAAGUUUAAAAUAACAAAAAAAAUAAUUUACCGAUUUUUAAUCUAUAUUUUAUUUUACUUUUUCUUUGUAUUUUUUUUUUCUUAUAUUUUCCCUCAAAUUUUCUGAAUCAAACAUAGCAAAAAAGGAGCUACCCCUUUCGAAAGAAACUCCCAAGAAUUUCAAAGAAACCUGCUGAGAUAAUGAAUGAGGGAUCACUGUCGGUAAACAGUAUCCAUUCUUUUGGGAGGACUUUCAAACUGAGAAGUUGUUUUCAUGACUUGGAAACAAAAUUUUGAGCUCUAAGGGGGUCUGUAUUUGGGCCCUAAAAUUCAAUCCAUCAAUCUGAAAAAUGCUUAGGAUAAUGAUUUGAUUUAGCCACAAUCACUAAACAAAUUCCAGAGGAAAAUUUCGCUACUCAUAGGUGGCUGAUUCUCAUAAAAAGACAUCGUGGUAGGGUGUCUCAAGUGCAGGCUCACCAUCAACUUGCUGCCCUUUUUAGAUUAUUGUAAAAUGAUUUCACAUGAAGCCCAAUGCAAAACUUUGAAAGAAAAGGUUGGUGGAGACGUGAAGAAUAUGUAACCCAUAGGCCAUAACUAGUACCGAAGAUUAUUGAACAAACAUUCAAGGUUUUUGUAUAGACGAAACUGAAAAGAAUGUGUACCAGACUCAGGCGUUCAGAUCAGAUGAUGCCGUAAUGUGGAUUGUGGAGGAGCAUUGUGCAGACAGAUAAUGAGAUUCUGAAAGCGAGGCCACUGAUGGGCCCUUGGAAGGGGGGCGUGCCUUCAAAAUUAUAUAUAUAUAUAUAUAUAUGUCAUUGAAAAUUGGAAGCAACUUUUCUUCUUAAGUUAUUUUAAUCGAAGAAGAAACAAAAAGUUAAAAACAUACAUUAUUCUUCCUUCUUACGAGGUUUCCGGGUCUAAAUUACUAUGGUCUCUGCAACUGGCGUCGUUUUCUCUCCCCUCUCUCUAUUUUCCCUUUAUUUUUUCACUUUUAGAAAGAAGCAUCCCAUCAAGAAUCUACUACAACCCUACGCUUCCAUUUUGAUUUAGAAAGUUAAAAAUAAGUUUAAGUUAAAAAAAAAUAUUUUCUUAUAUAAUUAUUUAAACUUAUUUCUUUUCCUUUUUAUAUAAAGAAACAAAUAUUUUGCAAAUAAAUAAAUUUCUAAUUAUUUUCAUUAACAUAAUAAUAAUAUUUUUCAUAUGACUUUAAUCACAAUUUUUUUUACCACUUGUCCAAGGCGGUGAGAGGUGAUAAAAUGUAUUAAAAAAACGAUUAAAUUGCAUUAGGUAUAGAAGUUUUGUGCUUCAAUUAUCACUUAUAAAAAUAAAAUAAAAAUAGUCAAAUUUGAGUGUGCAAGUUGGUAUUCGUAUGUAGAAGGAAUUGGGGGAUUUGGGGGUCCUAACAAAUUUGAUAUGAUUGAUGGAAGGAAAUGAUUAUUAUAGGAUAAAGUCCGAAUGAAACGCUGACGAGGGGGGAAAAACAACAGUGGCAAUGCACUAUCCACAGAUCCAUGAUUGAUUUAUGUUAGCAAUAAUGAAUUAUUUUGACUUUGAUAACCUUGGUUAAGAGAAUUUGGUCUUGUUAUUAUCAUUUUUUCAAAAAAAAAAAGUGUAGGUAACUAGGUAGUUGAUUUAUUAGAAUUUAGAAAUGAGGAUCCCCUCCUCCUGCAAGAGCCGUGACAGACAUGCCUGCUUUCUUGCCAGAUUAUACCAAUGUGCCCAAAUAAUCCCCCAUCUAUCAUCUCUGCACCCUGGAACACGUCACUCCCUCCUUUGAGCAAUAAAAUAUCUCUUUUAUUUUCUUUUGAACCACUCUUCUAUUUCUUUGUACCAGACUGGACCCAUUUAAAUUCUUCGCUACGCUGUUCCCAAGGACUACGAGAAUCAAAAUAGCAAAAUUCUUGAAUCAUUUUAAUGGGUUCAGAAACCACAUGUUUCUCUAGAUCAUAAGAGGAAAAUCUUUUUGGAUGGUGUUUGUGUUGUGUUGUGUUCAAUAUUAAAUACUCAAUUAAAUAAGCUAAAUCAAAUAUCACAUGAAAAAUAAUCAAAUUAAAAAUAGGGAGAAUUAUGUUUUGAGGGUAGAUGGACCCCAAAUUAACAAAAGGUUCAUGUAACUCUUCAAAUUGAGCCCAGACCCAAUGAAAAUAUGGAAAUUGAGUUGAAGUAUAUCAUCAUUCAGUAUUUCCAAAAAUGUCCUUUGUUGAUUUUGAGAAAAAAAUUAAUAUUUUUGAAAAAUAUUUUUAUGUAAUUUAAUAUUUUUUUAAAUACUUUUAUUUAAUUUAAUAUUUUUAAAAAAUAAAUUUAUUUAAUUUAAUAUUUUAAAAAAUAUUUAAUUUAAUAUAUUUUUUAAAUACUUUAAUUUAAUUUAAUAUUUUUGAAAAAAAUUUUAAUUUAAUAUUUUUGAAAAAAAAAUUAUUUAAUUUAAUAUUUUUUAAAACUAUUUUUAUUUAAUUUAGUAUUUUUGAAAAAAAAUUAUUUAACUUAAUUUUAUAAAAUAUUUUAUAUGUGUUCUUAAAGGGUAUAUUUGUCCGUUACUAUUUCAUAUCCUUCAACUCAAUUUAAAGAGUUAUAUGGACCUUUUGUUAAUUUGGGGACCCAUCUACCCUCAAAAGAUAAUUCUCCCUUAAAAAUAUAAAUUUAAAUAUGACAUAAUUAUUAAAUAUGUUAGAUCUUGUAUGAGUUUAUAAGAUUUAUGUUUCAAAAUAACAUGUUUAUAAUUCAUCUAUUGAUUUAUAAUCAAAUUUUAAAUAAAUUAAAGUUAUUCAAGUUAAUAAAUAUGAUUUAUGUUAUAAAGACUAACUAAAAAAUAAUUUAUUAAUUAAACGGAUCCUGGUCAAUAAAAAUUUGAUUUAAAUACGAUCAUACUUAAUCAAAACUUAGGUCAAAUUGUAUUGAUAAAUUACAUCAAAACCUUGUUGUGUUCAAUAUUUUAUAUUAAACUAUUUUUUAAUAAAAUUAUUUUUAUAAAUAUAAUAUUACAUCAUUUGGAGAAACAAAAUAGUAUUAUAUUGAUUUUACAUAUAAAGCAACCAGUUAACCCCUCAUUAUUUUGAUCCAUUUCACAUCCAUAUCAUUCUCAUAAUUUUUUUAUAAUAUAUUAACAUGAUGGACGGUAAUUGAGGGUAGAAAAAAAAGAUGAGAAGAAUAAAAUAAUGUGAAUCCUCUCUAAAUGUUACAUCUUCUGACAAAUGAAGUCUAUAGAAAUGUGUAAAAAAAAAAAAAACACUUAAUUGUGAGGUUCACUUGAUUUAGCAAAAAAUUAAUAUUUUAUUUGUUGUGUGAUUUAAAAAUAAUAUUUUAUUUUUAAAAAUAAAAAAUUAUUUUUAAAGUUUUUUAACACUAUUUUACUAUUGUUCUUUGAAAUAAUUUUUAAAAUUAAAAUGAAAUAACUAAUAAUUUUUAGAUAAUAAAUUAAAGUUGUUUUUAUUAGAUUUUAAAAAUAAAAGAAAAAUAUAAAACCAUUUGAUCAAAUUUUUUUAAACUUAUUUUUAAAAGGUUUUUUUUUUUUUUUUUUUUUUUCUAUCCUAAGUUAAAAGAUAAAAAAUAAUUUUUAAAGAUAGGUUACGAGCAAAUGCCACAAACUUUUUUCUUCUCUUUCCCUUGUUCGGAUAGAAGUGAAAAAUAUCCUCCCAUGGAUCGACAUUACGUGAGCCAUCACCAUUCCCCAACUGCAAUUCAACCGCCAAAGCUGAGGUGUCAUUAUUAGUUUGAACAAAAGUCAGCAUUGUCCACGUGGUGACAAGCGGAACUGACCCAACUUGCAAGGCAAAAAAAUAAAUAAAAUAAAAUGAAAAAAUCAGAUCACCAUUAUGACGUCAGUCCAAUUGCUGACCUGGCCGCCGUCCCCCAUUUGACCCACGUGUUCAUUUAACCCAUUCGCCGUAUGCCGUGGCUCCCCACCCAUAUGGCCAUAUCUGCCAUUUAUUUUAUCCGUUGCCUCCAUUCGGUUUUUGGAUUUUACCCAUUCGCCCUCGUCUAUUCCCAUUUCCGUAUUUGCCCACCAAGGAAAUUCAAUUCCCAUGCUUUUGUUUUACAUUCAAAUCCUCCCCCCUCUAUAUAAAGGAGGGAGUAGGGCUUGAAAGUUUCUCAAGCCAACAUGGACUGUUGAGAGUGAAAGACAGAGGAGCCACAAACAAAUAUCACUCACUCAAACCAAAGCCAAAACCAAUACCGAAUUCAAUUCAAAUGACUUCUUUCUCUCUCAUCAAUUCCCUGAAUUCCGAUUCCGAUUUCAAUUUGUUAUCGGAUUCUUUUUCCUGGGAAAACUCCCUACCUUUCAAUGAAAACGACUCCCAGGAGAUGCUCCUCCUGGGCAUGCUGGCCAGCUCCACUCAGGAAACCUCAGAAACAGUUUCUUUGAAUCGAGUGAAGGAGGAAGAAGUGACUUCCCAGGAAAAUCCCGAGAAGGAGAAGUCAUACAGAGGCGUUAGGAGGCGGCCAUGGGGGAAAUUCGCAGCAGAAAUAAGGGACUCGACCAGGCAUGGCAUAAGGGUGUGGCUGGGAACAUUUGACAGUGCAGAGGCAGCUGCUCUGGCCUAUGAUCAAGCUGCUUUUGCGAUGCGGGGCCCUGCGGCAGUCCUCAAUUUCCCGGUGGAAAGAGUGAAGGAAUCGAUGCAGGAGAUCAAGUGCAUCUUGGAGGAGGGGGGCUCACCAGUGGUGGCCCUCAAGAAGAGGCACUCUAUGCGGAGAAAAAGUCCUUGCAAGAAACAUAAAAGUGAAGAGGUGAGGUUAGAAAAUGUGGUAGUGCUGGAGGAUUUGGGUACUGAAUACUUGGAACAGCUCCUCACUUUCUCUGAGACCUCUAGUCCUUGAUCAUCAUCAUCCAUCACCUGGAUAGCUUCUUCUCUUUGCUCUGUUUCUUACUUUUCUCUCUCUCUCUCUCUCUCUCUCUCUUUUUUUUUUAUGUAAUUUUUCUUAAUGUAUUUUUGGAGAUGGCGGGGGUGUAGUGGUGGCAAUUAUCCAUCUAGAAUUUUUCAAAAGAUAUGUUCUUUUGUUUCUUUGUAUAAAGUUGAAAAGUGGGGAUCAAUUGUGAUGGUGCUCUAUGUUCAUCCACCCAAUUUAUAUAAUCAAGGUGAUUAAUGUUUUUUGAUAUCAACAAUUUGUGAAUGACAUAGAGAGAGAGAGAGAGAGAGACCUUAUUUUCUACACUCAUUACGGUGGUUUCCAUUUGGGGAAGGAAAAGGAAAUGGCUAAGAAUGUUACCAAAAGAAGUGGGGUGGCUUUCAUAUGCGUGGUGGCAUACUUGCAUACAAACUUUUCAAUUGUGUUCUGCAUGCCACUCGGGUCAAUUUCAUUUCUUUUACUCCUAGUAGCCUAAUUGGAUUUCCUUUUUCUCAUGAGACAUCAAAUAAAUUUCAUUUUUUUAUAUUUAAAUAGUUAGGUAAGUUUGAUAGUGAGUUAUAUUUUAUACAUUAAUUCAUCUUUUAGAAUGUUGUCUACAAUAUAAACAGUGUAAUUAAUUUCAUCAUUACAGAACAGUCAUCUUAUAAAAUAACAUAAAAAUUAUUGGAUCACUUGUAUGGCACCACUGAUUUGGACUUGGUAUGGCUCUGUUUGGCUUCAUAGAAAAAAUUUGGACCCAAUUUGAAUGUCUUGCAUAAAAAGAGAUACGUCCCACUUUGAAUGAUAUUGAAGAAAAAAAUUUCUGAUGAAGAAUAUAUUGUUGGCAGGGUCAUGCAGGCCAAUAGGGAAACGAUAAAUUCAGAAGAAUGAGUCCAAACCAGUGGGCUUGAAAAUUAAGAAGAGAAUUGCUGUAUAAAACAAUCAUUUCUUAAUCGAGUUCACUUUCUGAAUAAUCGUCACUUUGAGAAUGCAUACUUAGGAAGAUGAUGAUCCUUAAUGGGAAUAAUCAAAGGCAUCAAAAAAUUGUUCUGGAACAAUUCUUGAUUGUCUCCAGUAAAAUUCAAAGUCAAAAGUCAAAAGUCCAGUCGGUCAACACCAAACCAGGCCAGUCCAAAAGACAUUAAUUUGCAAUCUAGAAUCUAUGAUGAGGUGGCGAAAUCAAACCUUGGCUUUUCACCAGGGAAUGGUACUCUGAAUUUGGUCAGUUCACUGUUUCGAGUGAAUAGGGUGUAGUAAUUAGUAAAUCAUAUUUUAGAUUUGUGUCACAAGUUACAAGGGAUAUGGGCUGACGUUCAAUUUUGGCGACAAUUUGUGGGCCCGUAUAUUUGUUGAGAUGUGGAAAUUGGGUGUGUGCUUUUUUCUGCUACCACAUAAAUAUAUUUCUUUGAAUUGAAGAGUGUUUCAGACCAUUUUUUUUCAAGUCACAAAUGGACAACUGAUUGAGAUUGUAUUGGUGAGAGUAGGAGUUUAUUUUGGGCUGGUUGAGCGAAGUUGAAAGUCGAGUUGGACCUAACCCUUGAAUUCAGCAGACUACAGUCCGAUCCUGUAUUUUGGAUUUAGGGAACCUUCUUUCCCAGAAGCUUCGUCUGGGUUUUAAAGUCUAAAUGUGGCUACUCUUAAACAUUGGAGAAAGGAUGAGCGUUCACAAGCAAAUGGGUAAUUGUGGAUGGUUCAAGGACCUGGCCAGCUGGUCUUCAAGUUUGGAUGCCGGUUUGGGCCUGAGAGAGUCUUUGCAAAGUGACUUCACUUCAGCCUAUGAGAUCAAGAUAUCAUGGUGAUGUCCGAUCACUUAGGUUUCAUUUUCACCUCGGAUUACCGUUACCAUGUUCAUGAAUAAAAAUAAAUAAAUAAAUGAAGCCUUAUAGAGAAAUUAAUGAAGUGAGCUAUACAAGCAACUGGGCCAGGAGCCUACAAGGCAGAAAUUCCCUGCCCUAGACUAGGCCGAAUAAAUUAGAUGAAUGAAUUGGGGAAACCUGGGCCAGCCACACAUCCUCCUGAAGGCUGAUGUCGAACUCGCUUACGAGGAAUGGACAUGGGAGAUUGGGCUGGGACCAAAUAACCAAUUGACAGCCCUAUCCUUGUGGCAAGACGUCAGUAAAAUGGUUCAUUCUGAUUUUACGCUGCCAUUCAAUUUAAUUUUAAUUUUUGUUUAAAGCGAUGUACAAAUUGAAUGGUGUCUAGUCACUUAAAGAGUGGUUCAUAAUACACUUAAUUUAAACAAAAAAGAAAUUAUUAGAUAGGGGAUUCUCCAAUAAAAACCACCCCAUCUUGUCAGCAAGUCCGGAAACUUCCUUCACUUAGGGCGUAUUUGUUUUUUUAACUUUAAUAUUAAAGAAAGUUGGUUAAACCUUAUGACACUUUUAUAUUAUUUUAUGAAUUUUUUUUAAUUUUUAUUUUAAUGGAAUUUUAACUUUAAUACAAGUUGGAGUAAUUCUUAUCUUAAAAACAAAUCAAAAUUACUUUAAUUUUAUAUAGAAAUAAACUUACAGUAAAUUUACCAUGAAAAUUUCUAAGUCAAAUACACCAUAAGUGCUAGUAUUUUAUAAUAUUUAGAAACAUGUUAAAUUAUUAUUAUUAUUUUUUAAAAUUAUUAGUUUUCAUAUUAGUUUUAGGGAAACUUGUGCUUUAGGUCUUUUAUUUGCAAAUAAUAUGGUUUUCAAAUCCUAAGAAUAGAAAAUAUGAGAAUCAACUGUUAAUGUGGAAAAUAAUAUCAAUUUUGUGCAAUCUCUAUUGACUCAUUUUUUUGUGCCUAGAUUGCCUUCACCCACUUCCAUGUCAACAACCACAUUAAUAGAUUGUUUUUUUUUUAUAAAACAAAUAAUUAUUAUGUUUAAAAUUUUGGGGAAACUCUCUAUCUCUCUUACUUCUUCACUACAUCCGAGACCCAUCUUCCUUAAACGUUUGCCUCUCAUUUUGCCCUAACCCCAAAUCUCAUAAAUUUCUCAUUUUCUUGCCUCAUUUGAAAUAUGAAGAUGACCGAUUCUCAAACAUCUCUGUCUCUCUCUUCACGUUUUGACCAGUCUAAUUGGAAACCCAUUUUCCAAAAACCUUCUUUCUUUCAUUUUGCCCUAACCCCACUAUCUCCCUCUUCAAGACCUAAUCACCCAAACUCGAUAUCUAUCUUCCCAAAACCUUCAAGCAAACUGAACUAGACCCAUAUCUUCUUUUUUCAUCAUCAAAGGUGAAAUUUUUUUAAGGCUUUUGGAAACCGAAUUGGAGCUUUCCCUUCUUCUGGGAUUAAUCAUUCGCAAGUGAGUUUUCCAUUUAAGGCUUUGUUUGGCUGUUGAAAUCUUGGGAUCAAAGGUCUUUUAUUUUCAGGUUUCUUGUAUUUUGCUUUAUUUUCUUGUAUAUAACAAUAAUCAUUGUAACAUAUGCUAGUAGUUACCCUUGGUGCAACUUUACAUUUCCAAAUACCCUAAAGUCCAAAGCUUUUAAUUCCCUUUUCAAAGCUUUCAACUUUGAAAGCAGACUAAACCAUAAGAACUAUGAAACUUAUAUCUCUAUCACCACUAAUUAAGCAUGUCUAUGAAUCCUUCCACUUUAAGUCACUUAUUCUCAAACCAAGAAGGGCUCCUCUCAUUCUCACCCCACCUCAUCUAAAUGAGGGAAAUGAUCAAUUGCAGCCAUGCUUUGCACCAAAUUAGAGAAGUGAUCCUCCCAAUCAUCCAUUACCAAAAAUUGAUCAUGCUGAUGAGAUCAUAAGAGUCUAUUCGGAACUCCCAGUUUACUUGCCUCUUAUCUCAGGAUCCUCCAUUACCCCCUGUCUUUCCAACAUCAAAUCAACUUGCAAACAAUUCCUUUGUAGAUAAAAUGUUUUUAAUAUUGCAAAAGGGGACUUAUCAUAAUGGUUGAAUCGAUUUAUUUGAUAUAAUCACUCAAAUUCAAGCUUAAAAUUGAUCAUAAUAAAAUGUUUUUAAUAUUGUUAAAAGGAGAUUAUAAUGGUUUUAUUUGAUAUCAUUACUAAAAUUCAAGCUUUCAAACAUGCUCUACAAAGAAGUUCUAAAAGACUACAAGAAAGAGUUUCCACUAAAGAAAAACAAUGAAACCAUUUCUACUAAAGACAAACAAUGAAACCACAGAUGCUUUGUGAAAUAUGUACCCGCACAAUCCAACAAACUUUAGAAAUUCACAAACACUACCUAGAAUUUUUGCUGACCAGCAAAAAAUUUAUGCAAUUUAAUUCUUAUUGUUAUUAUUAUUUUCAAUGUGAACAAAUAUGAUUGAAUUAUGAAGUAUUUGGCCAGAAGAGGAUCUUGCCUAAUUAUAGUCAUUAAACAACCAUUUAUACCAUAGCCUCUAGACUUUAAAAAGUUUAUAAAACUCAAGGGCUUCCACCCAAUUUCUAGAUAUCUCCAUAACAUUCUUCUGACUAUUAGAAAGCAAUUACCACUUUAAUUUUUCAUUUCAUGAGUGUUCAAUUCAGAAAAAGACCAGGAUCGAACUUGCGAUCAUGCAGUCGAAAAUCCACCUGUGCAUGAAACUAUUGCCUCACGAUUGCAAACUCAAGUUGGAGUCCAGUAACAACUCUAGGUUUGCUGAUGUGCUCCAUUUGAAAUAAAGGAACUAAAGAAUACUUUAUAAAGAUUAAUUACCUUCAUAUUUUAGGUUGGGGUUAAGGCAAAAUGUGAUAGAUUGAGAGGAAGAAAAUAUAUCUUGUUCAGGAAGCCAAUAUUUUGGAGUUCACCUUUCCAUUCGAGUCCACUCUGCUAUAGCAAAAUCAGAGUCACAACUAUGCCUCUUUAAGCUAUCCUUUAAUUGGAUGAAUUGCAGAUUUGGUUGCUGAGAAAGUGGAUAAGAAAGAAAAAUGCAUACUGUAGCUUGAGAUUAAGAGUUUGUUUUCUAAAAUGAGAGAAAGGGAAAGAGAAAAAAUGCAUAUUGUAGCUUGAGAUUAAGGGUUUGUUUUCUAAAAUGAGAGAAAGGGGAAGAGAAAUGUUCGACAACUUUGAGAUGACAAAUUUUUAGAUUUGGAAAAUUUGAGAUGAGUCUCAGGUUUUUUUUUUUUUUUUUUUGUCUUUGUCUUUGUUUUUUUUUUUUUUUUUUGUUUUUUUCCCAAAAACAACCUGUUAAUGUGGUUGUUGACAUAGAAGUGGGUGAGGGCAAAAUGGGCAUAGAAAAAAGAGUCAACACAAAGUGCACAAAACCCAUAUUAUUUUCCACAUUAAUGACUGAUUCUCAUAUUUCUUGUUCUUGGGAUUUGAAAACCAUAUUAUUUGCAAAUGGACCUCCCAAAGCACAGGUUUCCCUUAGUUUUAUGUCUCCAUCUACAUUUUACAUAUAAAUAGAUUAUUUUAUAAAAUUUGUUUUGUAGAUAUAUUAGUUAAUAAUUAUAUAAUUAAUGAUAUAGAAAACAUAUAAAAAUCAUAUUUAAAAAAGAUAAUUACAUAUUCCUCAACAAUCCAUCCCAAGAAUUCGAGGUUGAGUUGAAAACAUGUAGAGUCUUUGAUGUUAUUAUAAUCAUAUCCAACACAUAUGAUUAUUGUUUAUGAGAUAUUAUUAGAAAGUUUGUCUUAAAAUAAUUGAUUUAUUACCCACCUUUAGCAAAUGCCCAUUUUUGCGUCUUUCAAAAUUUUCAUUUUUUUUUUGUUUAAAAGAAGUAUUGUAAAGAAUGAUGAAAUAAGAAAUUUGUUGAGAAAGUGUGAGUAAAUAAUUUUACAUAAAAAGAGAUUUAAUACUUGAUAAAUAAAAUAAUAAAAUCAUGAUUUCUAGUUGUAUAGGGCCGGGUGGAUGGAGUGGCUAAGAUGUAAUUCUUGAAAUAGAGGAGACAACAUCAAUGUAUAAAAGUUUAACAGAGAAGGAAAGUGUGUUUGAAUGACUUUAUUUUCUUCAUUUAAAGUUUUGACGAUGAGUGUUUAUACAAGAUAAAUUUUCAAAUGAUAGGACUCCUAUUUACAUGGAGUUUGUGAUAUACUAUGAUUAUACAAAUUUAAAAUUCAAACAGAUUCAUGAGUUGAUAGGAGUCUGCUCAAUACGCCCCUUCAAAAUGGUGGGAGAUAGCACACCAAUCUUGACUCGAAGGGCCUAAACUCGUGCAGAAGAUGAGGGCUUUGUUAGAGCAUCGACAAGUUGAUCCGUGGUUGACAUAUGGGACACCUUGAGCUCACCUGAUUAAACCUUGUUUCAAACAAAAUGAAAAUCAAUCGCCGAUGUGUUUCAUGGAGAGUGAAACAUGGGAUUUGCACAAAGAUAUGUUGCACCCACGUUAUCACAAGAGAUAGGAGGUGGUGAUAAAUUUGAAACACUAAGUUUUGAGAGAAGAGAAUUAACCCAAAGAACCUUUGAGGCUGUAGAGGCCACGACGUGAUAUUUCGCUUCAGUGGAAGAGCGUGCUAUGAACUUUUGUUUCCUCGAUGACCAAUACACAAGAUUGUGACCAAGAAAAACAAUGGGAGCAUUGGUGGAGGAUCUGACAUAAGGAUUCCUUGCCCAUUCAACAUUCGAAUAUGCAUGUAGAUUGAUGGGCGAUUUCUUAUGCAAGAACAGACCAUGCACCAUUGUGCCGACUAAGUAUCUAAGCAAUCUUUUAACACAAGACCAAUGUGUUGAUGUUGGAUGGUGCAUAAAUUGAGAUAAUUUAUUCAUCAAGAAGGUGAUGUCAGGGCUAGUAAGAGAGAAGUAUUGAAGGCUUCCAACAAUUGACAUAUAUUUAGUGGGACCAGGAAAAGAGGUGUCAUCACACAGAUUUGGAACAUUGUUGAGGAACAUCAAUGAUUGAACUGGUUUGGUAGCCACCAUUUGUGUUUUCUUAAGAAGCUCUCGAAUGUACUUGAGAUAAAAAUAAUCCUUUGGAAGUAUGUAUCAUUUCAACACCAAGAAUAAAAGAUGAAGUCCUGAGAUCCUUAAUGGAGAAUUUGACUGCUAAUUGAGAGAUCACGCGAGCACGAAAAACAUUAUUGUUACUUGUUAAAAUAAGAUCAUCAAUAUAAAUAAGUAGGUAAACAAUGAGACCACUCUUUUUAAAAAUGAAGAGGGAUGUCUCGGUUUAGGAGUUGACGAAGGCUAUUGAGAGGAGAAAUUGGCAAAGUUCAUGAUACCAUGAUCGUGGAGCUUGUUUAAAGCCAUAAAAAGCCUUACAAAGUUGGCAAAUGUGAUGAUGUGUGUAUUCGUGAACCCAGGAGGUUGAAUCAUGUAAACAUCUUCAUGAAGUGUCCUAUGCUAGAAUGCAUUAUUAAUGUCCAAUUCAUGAGUUGAUAGGAGUCUGCUCAAUACAAUGUGGGAGUGUGAUUUCAAAAUUAGGGUAAUUUCGAAAUGGAUUUUGUAUUCACAAGUUGAAUUUCAAAAUUAUUUUGAAAUGGUCUUUUAACUUUAAGCAGUUGUGUUCAAAAGGUCAUAACUUCUUCGUUUCAAUUUUGAUUUACACAUUGUUUAAAACAUUGGACUCUUUACUUCCCGAGCUUCAAAACGAUAUAUAGUAUGCUCAAAAAUGACAUCAGGAUUGGUUCAAAUUUCAUCUUGAUAUUAGAGUACAUGUUGUGAUUAGAUUUUGAGUUCCAAAUUUCCAUGUAAACUUGAUUGCAUUUGCUUCAAACCUCCUUCAUUAUGGUUGCUUGCCCUCUAUCUCACUUUGCAACAUUUGUUACUAGUAUUUUAUGUCCAUGACUUACUCAUUUCAACCUUUCUUGGAUUCUUCAUGGUUCACAAAUUAUGGAUUCUUCAUGGUUCACAAAUUGAGUCUUUCAAUUAUGCAUGUUUAACUCCUAUUUCCUUGGUUGAUAAUGACUUUUACACUUAUCAUUUUCUUUUAUUCUUUAAACCUGAAUUUAGACUUACAAAAAAAAGUUAGAUCCAUAACUAGGGUCUUAGCAUCAAUUUGAGUUAAGUUGGAUGAUUUGAAAAUUUUAUAUUACAUAAAUCAUAUCAUACAUGUGCCAUUGGAGUGCACAUUUUGGCUCUAAUCAUGUUCCAACCCAUUGUUUUACUCUUGCAUGAAGUAUGUGGCCAUUGAUUUUAAUUUUAUUUGCGAUUAGGUUCAAAAUGGUGCUUUUGUGUUGCUCAUGUGUCAUCAGAAGAUCAACUAAUGGAUUCUCUAACAAAACUACUACAUCAUAGUCAUUUUUUUUUUUCUUAAGACCAAGAUUGAGAUCUCCAAUCGGAGCCAACUCCAUCUUGGGGGCAUGUUAGUGAAAGAUAAAAUUUAUCUUUAAUUUAAAUAUUAAUAUUUAUCAGUUAUUAGUUUUAAUUAGAGUAAAAGAUAGAGUUUAAAUUGGAGUAGGAGAUAAACUUGUGUUUGAACUAGAAUAGAAGAUAAAGUAUAAAGAUUUAUGUUUGAAUUAGAAUAAAAUAUAAAGUUUGAAUUAGAGUAGAAGAUAAACUUGUUCUUUAUUUGUAUAUAAAUAUUCAUCAAUUCUUGAGAAGAAGAUUAUUUCAUAGUUUUUCUAUCUUCUUUUUUCUUCAUACAUAUCUGCAAGAAAUUGAAGAUUUCAAGUAAAAUAUUUUCUGUUUUAAAUAGUGAAAAAAGCUAGAAAUUCACUUUGUUAUCUCUUGGGGUAAAUUGACAAGGUUUAACGUUAAGAAGGUGAAUUAUUUUUUCAGAAAAACUGAAGUAGCUAGGAUAUCUGGCCAGUUGUGAUCGAUAAAAAAGUUGUAAAAUCUCUCAUAUACUAAACAGGUUUUGGAUGUUGGUAUGGUAAAUCCAUCUGCAGUCAUUCGUCAUCUCAUCUAGUGAGAUGUUUGGGAGGUGGUGACCGCCGGAUUGGGUUUCAUUUGGUUAAAUCUGUCAGUGGGUUGGCUACUACCCGAGCCUCUUGCUUUGGGGGAGGUGGGUUCUAGAUAUAAUGUUCAAACCAUUUUAGUUAUCAUAUGCAUGACAUGUAAGCAUAAUCUCUUUAUCACUUCUUCAAUGGGAGUUCAUGGUUAGGAAUUGACUUCUUUUCUUCUGGGAUGCUUGGCAUGUAAUGGACAAAGUUACUUUUAUAUCGAUCGAAUUUCUAGUAUUAUAGUGAAGACUUACCCUUUUGACAUUUUAUAUCGAAUUAUAGAAGAUGAAAGGGACAUACAUGCAAUCGACUGACGCUUUAGUGAAUAUGCUGAAAAUAUGCUGAUGCUGUGGAGAUCGUAUGAGGACAGAGGAAAAAGAUAGAAAUGGAUAUAUAAUUAGACCUAGGUUUUUAUUAAAUGAGAUGGGGAACAUAGAGUGAGGGAAAAUCAAAAUUUUUGGCUGCAGUUCACAUUGGUGAUAUUUUGGAUUGACAAAGACUAACGACUUUUCUAUUUUUCUUUUCGGCCUGACUGGAUAGUUGGACAUGGACAAUACAGAAUCCACAGAAGGAUUGUUGGGACCGCUGAAAAUUAGCUAGAAGAAGCUGAGGAAGUAGUCUACGUAGUCAAAUACCAAACACAAAGAAAGAAAGAAAUGGAUAUCAUGGAUGCCUAGAGUUAUACUCCUAAUACCGUCACAGGUAUUUUUCUUUCCUCCUUUUUUUUUCUACGAUAAUUAGAGCAUUUCUCCUCCUCCUCCUCCUCCUCCCCCCACCCCACCACCAAAAAAUAAAAAAAUAAAUUAUUGCAAGUAACACUUCAAAUAUUAAUUUAUACAUUCUAAAGUAUAUAUUCAUGAAAUAACUUGAGUAUCAUACAUUAGUUCUCAAAAAAAAAAAAAAAAAAAAAAAAAAAUUACUGGAAGAGAAAAGUUUAAGAAAACAUAAAAAUAUUCAACUACUAUUUUAAAGAGAAAAUUUAAUUUUUACACUAUAAAUUUGAAGAGAACUUUUACAUGCAUCUUAUAUAAACUACCAUUUUUUGCUAAAAGGCUUAAAUUUGUCAAAAAUACCCCUUAGGUGCUUAACGUUCUGGUCAUAAUAUAAUUGGCAUCUUUUCUCAAACAUAAGGCCUGUGUGUGGGAACAAGAUUUAAUGUUAAUGAGCUUCGCCACCGACAUUUAGUUCCAGAAAUCAUUAUUUUAAUAGAGUGGGCUCAAUUUACAACUUUAAUUAAACUCUAACCAACUGCAUUGUGAAAUGAAUAUGUUUCUUUCGUGGUGAAUCCAAUGAGUUGGGAGUCAAACUUUGCUUCAUUGUGUAUAGAUGAAAUGUUAAGACUCCAUGUAACCUCAAACAUUUCCGCAAUNNNNNNNNNNNNNNNNNNNNNNNNNNNNNNNNNNNNNNNNNNNNNNNNNNNNNNNNNNNNNNNNNNNNNNNNNNNNNNNNNNNNNNNNNNNNNNNNNNNNUUCUUUCGUGGUGAAUCCAAUGAGUUGGAGUCAAACUUGCUUCAUUGUGUAUAGAUGAAAUGUUAAGACUCCAUGUAACUCAAACAUUUCCGCAAUGAGCGGGAGUUCUAAAUUUAAUAAUUGAAAUUGUCAGUGGAACCAGUGGACAAGAGUUGGUUUGUGGUUGACAAACUUAUCCGUUUGAUCUUUACUUGAACAGUUCCAGUGUGUGGAUGGGUACUGAUGAAGUGUGCGCAUUUAUUUUGAGAAGCCUGCUUGUUCGCAUAGAUUUUAACGACAUGAACAUUGUGGUAAGGUUAGAGAGUAAUGCGAAUGUAGGAGCUUAUAUUAGAAAUGACACAAACACGUAAAUAGAAGUAAUCUAUAUAUGAUAUUACUCAUGGACUACAAGCAAAGAAGUACAAUACAUGGAGUAAGUGAUGAAAUGAGCAUUCCUCACUACUACUGCUUGACUGAUGGAACAUGAUGCACGAGAUAGCAUAAGUAGUAGUAGGAAGCAGCUCUUAUUUGUGGCGUCGGUAUACAUCAUACUAGGUAGAUGGUUCAAUUGGCAUGGAUGGGUGGUGGAGCCUUGAAGUGCUUGUGAUGGGGAGCCCACGGCUUCUUCUCAGGAGUUGGUGGCUUCUUGUAUGGAGUUGAUGGAGGUGUUUCUACUGGAGGGUGGCCAGGGUAGUGACCCUGGGGUGGUGAAGGUUCUUUUGUCGGUGGUGGCCUCACUAUUAUUGGCGGUAGAGUUGGUGGCUUGGGCGUUGGCGGUGGUCUCACUACUCUUGGGGGUAGAGUUGGUGUCUUGUGUUUUGGUGGUGGAGGUGGCUUAACAGGAGUUGGUGGCUUGUAUUCUGGGGGUGGUUUCUCCACCGGAGGUGGCUUAUAAACUGGAGUUGGUGGCUUGUAUUCUGGGGGUGGCUUCUCCACUGGUGGUGGCCUGUAAACAGGGGUUGGUGGCUUAUAUUCUGGGGGAGGCUUCUCCACUGGAGGCGACUUAUAAACAGGGGUUGGUGGCUUGUAUUCCGGGGGUGGCUUCUCUACGGGAGGUGGCCUGUAAACAGGGGUUGGUGGCUUCUCCACCGGAGGUGGCUUAUAAACGGGGGUUGGUGGCUUGUAUUCUGGGGGUGGUUUCCCCAGUGGUGGAGACUUGUAAACAGGAAGAGGUGGUUUGUGCUCAUAUGGGGGUGGCUUGUGGUCAUUAGCAAGUGAGGGAGUGGUGAGGACCACCAAUCCAAGGAACAACACGAGUGAGCAAGCAGAAGACAUGUUUGGGCUCUGGUGAUGCACAAGUAGAAGAAAUGGGAACCAUUUAUAAUGCUUCGAGACCUUGGUUAGCACCAAAAUAUGUCAAAAUCUUGAUUACUUCAUUUCAUACAUAGAUUUAAAAUUAUUUCAAUCAACCAUGAUCCUUAAUUUUCUGGGUGGUCCAUAAAUGUAAUGGGGUCAAUUUGGGACCUAACAAGCUGAGAAGUUUGACAAUGCUGCAAGGCUUCAUCCGAAAGUCCGGGGAAGAAUAUUAGGAGUUACACUCCGUUUCCUUUUUUGGGUGCAUUUUUCUCCUUUAACAUUCUAUUCCCUUUUACAUUAGCAUUUGAUCUUAGCUCAUUUCAAGUACAAGUUUCUUGAACCCUAUACCAUUGUCAAAGUUGAGUAACCAUCUCUACUUUGCUCAAGAAACAUAAAAGACAAUGACAAUAAAGAAAAAGGAGAGAGACCAUACGUGACUUGGUUUAUAGGUGGCUUUGUGUUGACAUUUGAGUAUGGAAGCCGACAUGCAUCUUAGCUUCGAUUUUAAUUAAAUUUGUACAUUAGUGUCUGUGUCAUUCAUUUUGGUAUAAAAGGUCUCUUGAUUUCGUAAGUUUGGUAAGAACCGUUGAAAAUAGCAGUAGCAGCACAUGGUCCACUUUCUUUCACAAAAUAAUUUUAAAAGUUUAGAAGCAUAGGAGGUAACAUUAGUGGCCUUGUGGCUCAGCCACGAGUACUAUGUGGUGCUCGAGAAAUUGAGUUUAAUUUCCUUCCGAUAGUUCAUGAUAAGGUCCGUCACUGUCCUGAGACAGAUUGCGUUUUUUCUUUUUUCCUUUUUUAGUGUUUUAUUGACUAGCUAGGUGUGACUUUUCCUACUUUAAGGCACGAGGCAGAAAAGAAACUGGGAUUUAGUGCUUAAGAAGGCAAAUUUAAUUCGAUUUGGAUCUAAAAUUUGCCAGCAACAUGAGAUUUUCCAGCCUAUCGUUGCUCCACAUAUAGACAAGGCACUUGUAGAAGUGGCUUGUUUGUAGCCAUUCCCGAUAUUUGGACUCACUUGAUUCACCGGACACUUUGAUAAAAUUUAAUAUUUAUUAUUUAAUAAUUUAAAUUGAUUUAAAAUUAAAUUAUACCGAAGUUGUGAUUUAAAAAUUAUUAUUUAAUUCUUACUUUUAAAUAUGAAGAUUAUUUGAUAAAAAUAAUUUAAAAUUUAUUAUAAAUUAUCAAAUUAACAUAUUUAUCCUUAUAAAUUAUAAUUAAAACAGAAAAGGUCAAAUGAUUUGAGUAUCCAUAGAUGUGGUAAAAUAAUAAAAAAGAUUAUAAAAACAAUUAUGAUAAAUAAAGAUAAAAAGUAAAAUGAAUAUGUGAAUUUAAAGAAUAAAUUAAUUAUUUUUAUUUAUUACUUAAAAUUAUUUUUGACUUUAAAUUAUAUUAUUAAAUUAUUUUACCAAACAUACUUAAUUUAGUUAAUAAUUUAAAUUUAAUUUAAGUUAUUAAAUUGAUUCACCAAAUACCCACUUAAUCAAAGACUGAAGUAUACAUUAUUUGGCCAAAUGCAGCUAUUGAAAUUUAACUUUUUCCAAACUUAUUCAUUUUGUGGAAAUAUUUUUAGAAAUGAUUUUAAAAAUGCACUAUUCUGUGUGUUGAUUUUAUAUUUUGGCAUUAAUCCAACAUAGAAAACGGUUCUUAUUUUCGCUGUUAAAUAGGUACCAGAUCCUUAAUUAGUGCCGUGAAUCCGGCAGCUUCCAAUGAGUAAUUUGGACUUGGGUAUUGACAAUGUGUGGCCAUGCUUCUACUAUUUUAUUAUUCUUGAAACAUAUAUGAUAUAUUGGACUUUAUACAGGGAAAAAAAAAAAAAAAAGUCUUCACCAAAAAUGAUUCCUCCUAAAAAAUAGACUCCACAAACUAGGUUUAACAGGAAAAUGAUUCUAAUCUAGUAGUUUCCAGCCACAUGAGCAUUUACGUAACAAUAGUAUAGUUGAUAACGACUUUUAUUUUAUUUAUUUUUAAAUAGUUAAAGGGAUAAUUUUUGAGCUUAAAUUUUAUUUUUUUAUUUAGAAACAUUUUACUUUAUUUUUUAAUCAUAAUUCUAUUAUAUUAAUGUUUUAUUUUCUAUUUUUUAAUAUAUAAGGAGAUACUAAAUUUAUGUGAUUAUUUUUUAAAAAUUUAGUAUAUGAAAUUAAAUAAUUGGAUAUAUAUACAUAUAUCAUAUAAUGUUUUUUAAGUGUGAUUUUUGAACUUUUUAGUCAUUUUAUAAGUUUAAGCUUUUGAUUUUUUUUUUUAAACUUUGGUAUUUUUUAUUUUAUAUAAAACUAUUUUGAUUUAAUUUUAUUAAAAAAUAUUGGUAUUAUAAAUUAUUGUAUUAAUUAUUUUUUUAUAUUAUAAUGUAACUGGUAUAUACUAAAAAAUGUAUGCAAGUUCAAUUUAAGUUUCAAAUUAAAAAAUUUCAUUUAAAUAUUUAAUAACUUGUUCAUAAUAAAAAAUUAAACAACAUAAUACAAAUGAAAAGAAACAUAAAAGAAAAAGGAAAAAAUGGUCCUCUCUGUGUGUCACAUUACUAGGUCAUCCUCUUUUUCUAUGACCCUUACAAUAGAAUGGCAUAUUUGUCAAAUCUACUUAUGAAAGUUGGAAUGUUUCUACAUGUGUAGGGUCCAUUGGAACUAAUGGAGGAAAGGCUUAACGUCUAUGUAAAUCACAACGUUGCCUAGGUGGGCAUAGAUCUAGUUGUGUAACAUGAGAUGGUGUGAGAGUACAAUAUAUGCAUUGUAGUCUCUAUGGGAAGAGAGAUAGGUAAUGGUAGGGUGGUAGACGGUAGGGUGAUCUCUAAUAUAAUGACAUUUGAUGUGGUGGCUUCUAAGAGAGGAGAUAUAAGAGAUGGUAGAAUGACAUUUGGUGUAAUGGUCUCUAGUGCAAUGACAUGUGAUAUGGUGACCUAUAAAGAAGAGAUAUAGGUGAUGGUGAAGUGGUAUGUGGUGUAGUGACCUUUGAGAUAGAAAAUAGAGGUAAUGGUAGGUUGGCAGGUGGAGUGGUCUUUGGUGUAGUGACAUCAAUUAUAAAUGUCUCCAAGGGAGGAAAUAAAGGUGAUGGUAGGUAGUAAAUGUUGAGGUGGUCUUUGAUAUGUUAUGCUCUAAGAGAGAAGGUAUAGGUAAUGAUAAUAGGGAAUUUGACAUAGUGGUGUUGGAAAUAAAAAGUGAAAGUGACCGUAGAGGUGAAAGGGCAAGUGUAAAAGCCUCAAGUACGAAUGGAGUAAUUAAUGUGGAUGGUGCUAACAUAGUCUUAGGUGGAUACACAAAUAGUCAUAGUCAUCAACUAGCUUGCCCACCAUCUGUCUUUCUGCUAGUGAUAGGUUACAUCUUAAUAGUAAUGGCCAACAUAAGUGGUGUGGAUCCGAUUUUUUUACGUGUGUCCCCACUCAAUCGACAAGACUUAUUUUUUAUUAGUGAAAAAUUAAUUUUGGAAAAGUUGGAGUCACCACUUAUUUUAUUUUAUUUUAAAAAGGAAAGUAAAACAAGAAAGAGAACUCUAAAGAAGUGACUUCAUAGUUUUGGAAAAGUUAGUCUUAAAAAAUCCAAGUCUUGGUCCGGAGAUCAGGUUACUUAUUGGGAAGAUACCUCUAAGAGGUAAUACCCCUCUAAACCCUAAAGAAGUCUCUAAUGACUAAGUUGAGGAGAAUGUGGUAAUUAAUUAAUUGAUUGAGGGUACCUAGGUAGACUAAGGUGAUUUCAGAAUUAACAUACCAAGCUAGAAAGUCCAAUCAUGAUCAUAAAAGAGAGUCAAAGUAUGUACCUGAACUGCUUCUCAAACGCUAUCAUAAAACAUCAAAGUUAGUAUAGAAAUAUAACACAUAAUAUUUGUUUUAUCCAAGCAAAUAAAGCAUACAUCUAAGCACCCAAGAAUCACAUCAAGUAUGGAUAUAGUCAUCAAUAGCAUACGUGUCCAUAGAACUAUCGAAAGUAAAUGUGGAGGAGCGUAUCUGGACAACAUAGAUAACUUAUAAUGUGCUUCCACAAGACAUGGGGGUUAGAUAAAAGUUAUAAUAAUAAUUAGUAAAUGAAAGAAUUCUAGCAUGUUUGGUAUCUAAAUAACAUAGCAAAAAUGAACAAGAGUACACGAAAACAUCAAUUAUCACACGAGUCAUAUUGGCUAGUAUUUAAUCAAUAAACCAACAAUAAAUGACUAUAAACAUAUAAAAUGACAUAUUCAAAGAGACCCAAACAUAAAGAGCCUAGAACACAAGCUUACACUAAAUUUAGAAAACUAAAACAUGGAAUUUUAAAAGCAUAAAUUAGCAAACAAAUUGAUGGAAACUAAAUUUAGAUAACUUAAGAAUAUUUUUCUUAUCCUUCAAUUUAAAUCAGUAAGCCAACAAUAAAAAAUUAUAGAAACAUGGAAUAUCAAGAUCAAUGGGAUACCUAAACUAUAAUUUUUAAAAGAAAAUAAACUAAGCAUAAUAUCUACAAAGCAACUAAACUAACAUUUUUUUAAAAAUAAAUUAAACAUGACAUUAAUGGAGUAACCAAACUAAAUUAAAGUAAACUAAAAACAUUUAUGAAUUUUCAAACAUGGAAUCAGCUUUCUUAGUAAAUUAAAAUUAUUAAAAUAAAAUCUAAGCUUAAAAAUGAAUUAAAUACUAACUAAAGCAAAUCUAAAACCAAAUAUUUAACACAUAGGAUCAAUUAUAUUAACAAACUAAAAUUUUAUAAGAACACUUAAACCUAAAGUUGAAUUAAAAACUAACCAAUUUUUAAAACUAGAUCUUUAACCCAUAGGAUCAAUUAUAUUAACAAAUAAAUAAUAAAUAAUAAAUAAAUAAAACUCAAACCUAAAGAUGAACUAGAAAUGUACCAAAGUAAAUUCAAAACAAGAUCUUUAACACAUUAGAUCAAUUAUAUUGACUAACUAAAAAAAAAAAAAAAAAACACUCAAACCUGAAACGAUGUAUUAGAAACUAACCAAAGCAAAUUUAAAAUAGAGUCUUUAACACAUAGGAUCAAUUAUAAUCACUAACUUAAAUUACAAUUUUUGAAACAUGAACUAAUUAGUGUUGGAUUAAUUAAACUAAUUAACUAAAAAAAACUAUAAACUAGAAUACGGUGAAUCAAGAAUUCAAAUCAACAAACAUAAAAUAUGGGUACAAUGAAAUGAAAAUCUAUUAAACUAAUAAGACGGAAAUAUGACAAACUCAUGAACCCACAUUUUGAUCAACUAGGAAAUAGAAAUUAAUAGACCUGUAGCAUGGAUACAAUGAAAUGAGAUCAGUUAAAUUUAUUUGCCGAAAUUCUAAAAAACACAUACACUCAAAUAAGAUCUAAAUCUAAGACCAAGCAAAACUCAAACUUUCUCAAUCUAAUGCAAUGAAUCAAAACUAAAAUUAAAUAGAAAUCAAACCAUUUUUUUUUUAUCUAAUAUAAUAAAUCAAAGCUAAAACUAAACAAAAUCGAAUUUUCUUAAUUUAAUAUGAUGAGUCAAAGCUAAAAUUGAACAAAGUUCAAACCUUUAUAUAAUGGAUCAAAGUUAAAUCUAAAUGAAAUCCAUACUUCCACAAUUUGAUAUAACAAAUCAAAAAUAAAACUAGAUAAAAAAAAAGUCAAAGCCUUUCAACUUGACAUAGUGAAUCCAAACUGAAACGAAACAAAAUUUUAACUUUUCCAAUGAAACCCAAUAUAGAAAAAAUUAGCUUACCUUCUUUAGAAUAUAUGUAUGGGCCAUAAAGAAGUCACCUUGGUGCAUGUGUUCCUCACUUUGACGCCAAUGGACGACUUUCUAUGGUAGCAAAUGGAGAUCCUUUUUGGUGGUAACUUGCGUGUGGAAACCUAUGGUACAACCAAUGUCAUCUUUUAUUGUGCGUGUGGACCAAUUUCUUCUCGAGAACUCAUGUGUGUUGUGCUCAAAAUAUGUUGCCUGUGAGAAUCUAUUGGUAUACCCCACAUAUGGUUUCCUUGAGAGAAUCUGUGGUUGUGUGUGGGCGUUUUCUUCAUGACAGCAUGUGGAUGUUCCCAUCUAUGGUAGAUUGGUUGUGAUGCUUUAGUGCAUGGUCUCCAUAGGAAUAGUGUGUUAUGGAAAUUUGGUUUUUUUAUUGGUGCAUGUUGUCUAGACUUUCCCAUAUGCGUGGACUGUGUGUUCAUGCUUUUCUUUUCGGAUGGUCGCCUGUGUUAAUGUGUGGCGGUGUCUACAAUGAAAGAUACAACCCUUUCUCUCCUUCUGCGUGAUAGAAAAGUCAAUCCCCCAUGGUGCGACUAUGUUCCCUCGUCCUUUUUGAAAAAUUUUGGUGUUUUCCCCCCAAAAAAUCCCCUCCAAAAAUCUAAUUAUAAAUGUCUGCUUUGGCCUAAUGUGUGUGCUACUUUUUUUUUCCUUCUUUUUAUGGUUGUGCGUGCUUUUCUUGAUACGUGGCUUAUUUCUUAAGGAUAUGAUUCGCUCCCAAUUGGUGUCUCAGCUGAUUCAUGUCCUUUCAAUGGUCCCUGACAGUGGUGCCAUUUGAUUCGUGUCCAGCUGGUGUCCCUUGAUUGUGGUCCUCAGAAGGGAGUAAUCAAUAAAAUUUAUAACCUAUUACACCAUGUAUUAGGAUAGCCUUAGCUAGCAUAGCAUAGUGGCUCUAGGGUCGUUUAUUGGGAUGAGUUUUCACUUCACAAUUGAUAUUAAUUCAAGAGCUGAAUUGGUGCCUUUUCAUUUCAAGGUUAGCUUUAAAAGAAAACAUAAUCUUUGGUGGAAAAAGGUUUGGUUUUAAACUAACCAAAAAUAGUAACUGAUUUUACUUACAAAGAAAAGUGUUCUUUGGAGUUUAGAUCACUAGGCUCAGGUUCCUCAUACAAAAAGGAGAGUUCCGAUCAUUUGUUUCUUUUCCUCGCAUUAGAGAAUUAACAUAUAGUUAAUUCUCUAACCGGUGCGGUACAUAUGCUUCCCAUUAAUGGGUUCAAACACUAAAUACCUCUCACUGAUGCACCUUGCAAUGGCUCGUGCCUCUCACCUAGCAUUUAUCAUUCAAGGUGAUCUUUAACCUUGGAUUACCCAUCAAAAGCUCGCAAGAGAUAACUAAAGGAUGUCUCCUUAGAGUCCAAAAGCUUACCAAGUGUUGGUUAUUCUAGAAAAUCCUACCUUCAAACCACCUCCCAAAGGCUCGCAAGAGAUAAACAAGUGCAUCUCAAUGGAUGAAGAUCACUUGCCUUACCAAGUUUUGGCCCAGAUGAUUUAAUGACAUUUUAAGUUAACUAAAAAGAUAAAAACCAUUAACGGGUCACACUUUCUCUUCAUUAAAAACUAAAACAACAAAACUUCCAAUUUAUGCAUGAGGAAACUUACCUGGCUUUCUUCACUUCAAGAGAUGAAGAGCCUAGCCACUCAUCAUUUGAGGAAAAAUCCUCAGAGUUUGAUUUGCUAGAAAUAAAAAUAAUGAGAAAACAAAAAUAUAUAUAUGAAAAACAGAGCAAGUUCUCUGUAAUAUAUUUUUCUUCCUUAUACAAAAGGUUGUCUCUAAGAACAAGUUCCCGAGAUCUAUCUGAUUGUAAAUAAAAUUACAACUAUAUAUAAGAGGUUAUUCACCCCUUUGUUCUUUCUUAAAGACUAAGGAAUCCUAUGAUAGGUGGGUUACAAGGAGAGUUUGGGGAUUUAGACAUCAAAUAUCUAAAGCAAAAUAUCUCAAGAUGUUAGUCGGAAAUAUCAGGAAGCUUCAGGAGAACACCGCGACACUGUAUACUGAGAGAAAAACUCUCCGGGUAAGCUCUAUCAAAGGAUCCAGACAUGUCUGACUGGGAAAGUUGAAACGUCCUUCUCUCCCAUCCGGAUGUGAGAUAUCCGGAGAAAGUGAAAUGUCGGUCGGACAGAAUUCUUUCCCCGGGUGGAAUGAGUUGUGUUGCGCGUCGCAAGGGGGACCGUCUGCGUGUACAAGUUGUAGGGACCCCUCUCCCGGAUGACACCGAGCGCGUAAGGCUAUCCGGAUCAACUCCAUUCGGAUUCCCCAAGAGGACAUGUGGCGUGCUCCCCUAUCAGGACUCCCUUAGGGAGAAGCACACGACACUCGUGAACAUCAUACCCGGACGAUAGCAUGUCCUAUCCGGAUGUGUUGUCCGGAUCAUUGACUAAAGUGAGCAAGCCUUGCUACGUCAUUCGGACAGCUUGCCACAUACCAUGUUCCGUCGCCAUCUGAUGGUGUGUCCGAACGCCUUGUCCGGACAUCUUUUGCUCCUUGCAUUCCGGAUUUGCUUAUGACAAAGGACUUCAAAGCUUCGGUUCUUCAUGUUUCUGAGCUUUCCAUUGCUUUGCCAUGGAUUCCAAAGAACUCUCCUUAAUCACGGAUUGCUUUGGUGAUCAAAAAGUUAUCAAAACACAAAAACUUAACAUAGUUUGAUUAGAAUUGAUUGCAAGGGUUCUUAAUAUGUUAAUUGGGUUAAAAGGUGAUAACUACUACUCAAAAGUGUUUAUAAGAAUUAAUUACAAGCUAUGAAAUAACACUUUUUGAGUAGUAAUCAGGAUACAUCCUAGUUUUUCAUGGAAUUGAUAGUGGGUUGUUGUGCAUGAAUGCCACCAUUUCAACUAUGCUGUUGUUAUUUUUAAAAAAAAUAUGGAUUAUGCGCGAGUGGCAAUUCUCCACUAUGGAAAGUGGAUUGCUCCUUCAACCCAUGCAUGGCUACGUAUUCCUAUGUCUUUCUACUUGUGUUUGAUCCUCCAAAAAAAAUUUCGGUUUAGUGCUAGUAGAUUUUAAGUGGUGGAUCCCCAUUUUUUGAAAAUGAAGUGGCAGCCUCCCAUUUCAAGACAAAAUGGUAGCCUGCCUUUAAUCUUUGGAGAAAAAUCUGUGCAUGACCUUUUUUUUUCCCAAAAAAUCCGUGCAUGGUGUCCUUUAAUAUUUGGAGAAAAAUCUAUGUUGGAUCUUUUCUUUUCUAGAAACAUUUGUGUGGUCUUUUUUGUUAGCCCAAGGGUUCUUCUAAUCAAGUUUUGAUGAUAACAAACCAUGGUUAAGUGACUAAUUGGUUUAAUGAUUAAGAAUCUCAAACAUAAAAUCGAAAAUUCAUCAAAGGACCAAAUGGAUACAAGAUCGAGACGCUUGGAAGACUUGUAAUCAUAGGAAACUAAUGUAAGAUGAAUGCAUGAGUGCACUUAGGAUUUUCACACGUUUCAUGCAACUUAGAAAACCCAGUUUAUUCUUUAAAACUUCAUCCCAGUUUAUUCUUUUUAUGGUUGUGUGUGCUUUCCUUGAUACGUGGCUUAUUUAUUAAGGAUACAUCCCAGUUUUUCAUGGAAUUGACAGUGGGUUGUUGUGUGUGAAUGCCACCAUUUCAACUGUGCUGUUGUUAUUUAAAAAAAAAAAAAAUGGAUUGUGCGCGAGUGGCAAUUCUCCACUAUGGAAAGUGGAUUGCUCCUUCAACCCAUGCAUGGCUACGUAUUCCUAUGUCUUUCUGCUUGUGUGUGAUCCUCCAAAAAAAAUUUUGGUUUAGUGCUAGUAGAUUUUAAGUGGUGGAUCCCCUUUUUUUGAAAACUAAGUGGCAGCCUCCCAUUUCAAAACGAAGUGGUAGCCUGCCUUUAGUCUUUGGAGAAAAAUCUGUGCAUGACUUUUUUUUUCCCAAAAAAUCCAUGCAUGGUGUCCUUUAAUAUUUGGAGAAAAAUCUAUGUGGGAUCUUUUAUUUUCUAGAAAAAUUUGUGUGGUCUUUUUUGUUAGCCCAAGGGUUCUCCUAAUCAGGUUUUGAUGAUAACAAAUCAUGGUUAAGUGACUAAUUGGUUUAAUGAUUAAGAAUCUCAAACAUAAACUCGAAAAUUCAUCAAAUGACCAAAUGGAUACAAGAUCGAGACGCUUGGAAGACUUGUGAUCAUAGGAAACUAAUGUAAGAUGAAUGCAUGAGUGCACUUAGGAUUUUCACACGUUUCAUGCAAUUUAGAAAACCCAGUUUAUUCUUUAAAACUUCAAUUUCAUUAAAACCCGAGUUUUUAACUAAUGUACCUUAGGCAAAAUGUUUUAUAAUUGGCUUAAUAAUUCACCUAAAUACAUUUUCUAAGUGUUAGAAAAGAAAGGAAUUAAAAAAAGGUUUUCGGGGCAAAAAAGGCUCAACCGGUCGAGGCUAUGGUCAACCGGCUCAACCGGUUGAGGAACCAAUCGAUCGGUUGUGCUUGUCCGAUCGAAGACCAAUCGAGGGAUGCCAAAAAAUUUCUCUCUCUCCUAGUGGCCUUCUCUUCCCGGUCGAGGUUCGGUCUAGGCAACGGUAACAUGUCAAGCAUUAAAUGCUCCGACGACUAGUGAAUCGGUCGACCCCUAGCCCGAUCGGACGAGGUUGCCUUUUGCUGUUUUUGACUCCCGAGCUUAGAAACCUAUAAAUUGAGAGCUCCACUUCAUUUAUUGAUAAAAGAGAACACUUGCAUUCAAUAGUCUACCUACCUUUUCUUGAUCAAAAAGCUCUCAUUUCCUUCAUAGUGCAUUAAAUCAUCACUUGCAUAUCCUUUAGUGCACUAUUGUGUGUCAUCCUAGCUUUGUUUUGUAUUUGAGCUAUCCUUAAGCUAGGUUGAGGGAUUAUUUCUUAUAAAAAUCUGAGUGUUAAAGCCUUCAAGAGAUUUGAAUCUUGAAGAGAUUGUGUAAGAGCCCAUUGGAGCCGGAGUCCAAGUGUAAGAAGAUUGGAAGCUUGGUUGAAGCUUCAAGUUAGUGGAACCCUCACUCGGUUAGGAGGUUGAGGAGAGUGGACGUAGGUAAGGAAGUGUCGAACCAUUAUAAACCCGAGUUUGAAUUCUCUAACUCUAUCUCUUUAUUUUGCUUAUAUUGUGUUUGAAUUUGUUGUGAUUGAAAAGAUUUUAAAAACCUAAUUCACCCUCCCCCCUUUUGGGUUUUUUUUUCUUAAUUAAGCAUAACCUUUGUUUUCUAAUUUUCUUUUUAGGAAAAUCCAUGCGUGGUAUGUCCAAACUCUCCAAGUGGCAGUCUGCCUUCUUCUAAAAAAUUUGUUUCUAUUUCUUUAUUCGACUACCUUCCAUGUCUUCCUAAUGAGUGCUUGUGCUCAAUGGUCAAUCCCUGGUGGUUGCCUCCUUUUCCCAUAUAUACGUGUUGCAAAAUCAACAUCCCACUAUAUGUGGGUUGCCUCUAUGGCAAGUUCACAUUUCCCACAUGAAACCUAUGAGUUUCCACCAAAAAUUGCCAUGAAAAAGUCUUUAUAUGCAUCUCAUGCAAUAAAAAGUCAAGCCAAUACUCAUCUUAUCUCGAAAAAUAAGUAACCAAAAUCAAGAUCAUGCCUAAGUGAACUAUGCCAAAAGAAGUGUCCAAGUGACCUAUUAUGAAAAAAGUGCCUAAGUGACCUAAGGUGAAUGUGUGUAAGCUGGAAGGUGUCUAGGAUGUUUAGGACAAUGCCUAAGCCUAAAAUAGGGUUGCCAAGGGUCACAAUGGGGUUAGAUAAAUCUCUCAAUCAGAGUCUCCAAGGUGGCUCAUAAAAGAUAAGCUACACGAGUAAUGAUGGGCCACCAGGGAAUUAUUGUAAAGCACCAAACGAACACAUAAUAGGACAUGUGUUAGAAUGAAAAAAUGGAGGGUUUACAAGUGGUCUCAUGGAUGAGCUUGAUAAUUUAAAUGACUCACAUAAUGAACGUAUGUGAUGUUUCUCUCCAAUAACAAGCAAAACAUCACUAGCAAUAUGAUGAAUGUCUCCUAAAUCACUUGAAGUAGUCCUAGCAAAUCAAUUAGAAAAAUCACACAUAUUGCUCUAAUGUAAUAUUAUAUACAUCUGUCAAUGAAUGGGAGAACUAAUGACACAACCAUCAUGUUGAUAUCUCGAACCCUCUAAUCUCAUAUGUAGGUGGGAUCACACUUAGAAACUCAUAACACAGUAAUGACCAAUCUAAGUCAAAAUGUGUUGGUGAUCGGAGGCCCAUGAAUAUGAAGUUCUAGGAUGAUAAUGACAUCUUAUAAAGUAAUGAUCAUCUCCUUAAUAGAUAGGUGAAAUGUGUGUGUCUUAGGACACCAUCUCUCAACAAGACUUGUGAUCAAUCCCCAGUCUAGUGUAACAUGCCUAUUAUGACAUCCAUCGUAAAAUCUAGACUAGAUAAUAUAAGGACAAAUGUGAGGGUUCAUCUCCCUUUCCCACAUAAAUUUAAAAAAUUAUUAUUGACAAGUUAAGACCAAACUAAGUUGCAAAAUAUAAAUAAGUCCAUUAGAUAACAAAUUUAUGUUUUCUCAUUUUCUCAUUUUUAAAGAGAUAUUAUGUGCUUCCAUGUACAUACAUGCUAAAGUCAAUUAUACGAGACUUAUAUCCAUCUUGUAGAACCAAAUCGAACCUAUCUAAUAGAUCCAGAUUAGAAGUAUGUCCUCUAUACUCCAUAUUUAUAACACAUUUAUAAAGAUAAAUGCUAAAAAAAUGUUAAAGAUAUAAAUUUAAUGAACCAUACUUUAUGAUUUUAAUUCUCAAUUAUUGUUCAUAUUUAUAAGAGAAAAGUUAAAAAAAUUGAUAGAGUUUUCCCUCUAUCAUGGACAUUAUCCCAAAUAAAAAUAAAUUGAUUAUGCAAAUUACAUUAAUAUUUGUAACCAAAUGAUCAAUAACUAUCUUGUAUCAAUUUAGUAAAUAAAUUUAAGUAUAUCUUUUCAUUUAUGACUAACAAAUAACUCAUACUUGUCCAAUAAAAGCCACACCUAAUUUCUAAAAUUUUGUCUUCACCUCAAGUGAGUGUUACAUUGAGAAAGAAAAAAUAUGAAAGAAAAAAUGAACACCUUUUUCUUUUAAUAAAAAAAGGCCAUAACGAAACAUUAAAUCUCACUGUUACACCUAUCUUCAAUGGAAACAUGAGGAUGUGAAUGGUGGCGGUGAUAUUCUUUGCUUGAAGCUCAUAAACAAAUAUUCCUUACUAAGCCUAUGCCAUUUAGUAUUUCAAUAGUGGACCCCCCCCCCCCCCCCCCCCCCCUCCUUGCAUUUCAGAUUUAGCAAACUUAGAACCAAAUAACAAAGUGCAUUUGAACCCAUAAAGAAGUAAUGAGACUCUCCUAUAUUGGCAAUAGAAGAAAUUUUUGGAGGUAUAGGAGAUUCACGGAUGAAGAAGUUGGGCCCCAAUUGAGAUAAGACCCAAGAAAAGAUGGGGUAGAGAGGGAUGGUUGGAAAUUGUAAAGUAAGAUUUUCAAAAUGUAGUUGAUGACUAAGAUUUUGACAAUUUAAAAAAGGUUUAAAAAUGUAGUUAGCAAUCGGGGUUUUGUAACAUUUAAAAAAUAAAAUAAAAUCUCAGGCCACAUGGUAGCCCAUGUGAUUCAGAAGCUUGAGAAUUAUUUUAUAAGAAGACUUAAUUUGUGAUUUUUUUAUAACUAUAUUAUUUUUUUUCUUAACACACGAAAAAAAUUAUGAAAUAAGACAAUUUUCCUAAGAAAGCAUGUAAGUGACUCUUGGUUAUUUUAUUUAACUUCUUCUAGUUUGGAGAGGAUUAAUACCUUUGCUUUUACUCACUUGCUUGGAUAUGUACACGUUGUUCAUGUCACUUUUCAUUUAAUUUUCUGAUUAAGGGAAUUGGAACCGUACGUAACUGUCUUUAUUCCCUCUGAAACUUGGACUUGGAGUUGGACUUUCAAUCUCAUCAGUCGUGUUUCCAUAAAAAAGAAGAUGGAUUAACCAAUUUUCCUAUGCCUACUAAUCAUACACAAAACUCCACUUCCAAAUAAAAAGGAAUGGGAUAUCACUUGUUAAUAGUGGCUAAAGACUAUUAAUAACCAUGCAAAGAAAUGUCACAUUUUUUGUUCUACGCAAAUUUUAUUCAUCAACUACUAGAACCAUUUCAUACAAUAGUAGCUUUUCGAUCCUUUGAUAAAUGGACACUUGAUGUGAUAACACCAACUACACCUAUAUAUUCAAGCAAUCAUGCGUAUAUAAUAGUGGAUAUGGAUUACUUCUCUAAAUGGGCAAAAGUUUUGUCAUUCAAGGAAAGUGAACGAGGAAACACAAGUUUACUUUCAUCGGAACUAAUAUUAUAUAUUGAUAUGACUUCCCAUUAUUACUUACGAUGGAAUAUGCUUCCAUAAAAUGGCCUAGAUGAACAAACUAUCCAAGAAGUUUGGGAUCAAAUAAUAUAUAUAUAGUUCAUGUGUGAUUCUUUGGUUGACAACCUUGUUAAGGGGUGAGUGAAGCACUUUGGGCAUACCACAUACUACAUGCUAGACUUCCACCCAAGCUACCCUAUAUUCCUUAUGAACAAAGUAGAAGUUGUCAUCUCUCUUGAAUACCAAAUCCUUUCACCUAAUAAUGCUAUCUAAAAAGGUCUUAAAAAGGAUAAAAAUGCGCAUAUUUGAAUUUUUGAAUUAGGAGUGCUACUUAAAAAGAAGCUAGAUAUACAAUAAUAGAAUGUUAUCAAGCAUAUCUCUUCAAAGUUUUUGACCAAAAAAUAUAUGAUUUCUCAUUUUAGGUAGGAGACUUAGUACUCACUAUUCAAAAACCAAUUAUCAUUACUCAUAAAAACUAAUAGAAAGUUUGGGCCAAAGUAGGAUGGACCUUAUAUUAUGCAACAAUUAUGCCUAUAAAAUUGUUGCAAAAGAGGUUUUAGAAUCAAAUCAAUGAAUGAAAAAUUAUUAAAGCAUUACUAUGCUUGAAGGCUAGUCAUUUUCCCUUAAAGUGCAAUAUUAAGUUGCAUAGUACUAUGUGGAUCCGCAUUUUUCACAUGCGUUCCCACUCAUUGUCGAGACUCACUUUUUAGAAGUGAAAAAUUAGUUUUAUUAAAGUCGAAGUUGCCACUGGGGAUUUGAACCCUAACAAAAGGUUCAAUUUAAGGAUAAAAAUAUCGAUAAUCACAUAUAUAUAUAUUGGUACUUUGAUUUUAUGAAUAUAUUGAAGAAAUAUGGACAAAUAUUUUGACACAAAAUAUGUACAAAAUAAAAAUUAUAUAAAAAGUAAAAAUAAAUAUUUUAAAAUUAUUUUUUUAAAUAUAUAUAUAUAUAAUUUGACAUAUUUGAUAAUAAUAUAUAAGGGUCUCCAAAAAGCCCGUGGCCCGCUUUAGGCCCGGUCCGACCCGACAGGCUAAAGCCCGGCCCAAGCCCGCCGGGCCCAAGCUCGGCCCGAGCCCGUUUAUGGGUGGGCCGGGCCGCGAGCCCGUAGGCCUGCUCCUUUAAAAAAAAACUACAAAAAUAAAAAGUAUUAAAAAAAAUAUUCAUUUCAAAAUUUUAUUCAUUGAAUGUAUAAUUACAUUUGAAAAUGUGGGAAAAGUUUACAUCACUACAAAAUAAAUACAUCCCAACUAGGUUGGCACCUAUUUAUUUGUCAAUCAUCUGUAUUUUUCAACCACAAAAAAUAAAAAUAAAAAUAUAAUAUACAUUUAGUCAUUAUUUUCUGGCGGUGAUGGCGAACUAUCAUGCAUCCAUGAAGAUCUUGAUAAUUUUAAAGAUUCCAUAUCGGUAAGCAUCUUUGUUUCUCGAAUGGAAUCAUACAUCCUUUUAUCUGCUAUUUCCCAAUCUUUCACACAUAUCCCUGCUUUAAUAACAUCUGACGCUAAGUUGCAUCGUUUUUUACUAACUACUCUUCCACCUGCACUAAAAGCAGCUUCUGAUGCAACUGUACUCACAGGAACUGUUAGUACAUCACGAGCAAUUAUAGAAAGCACAGGAUAUUUGUGUUGAUGUGAUUUCCACCAUAUUAAAAUAUUAAAAUCUUCUUGAUCUUCAAAUGAAAUUAUAUCAGUAUUAAGAUAUUUAUCUAAAUCAGAUGUAUUAUUUGGAGAAUUAUUUGUUGUCUUUUUUCGACUUUUCAACAUUUCUAGAGCUCCUUUAUAAAAAGAUGAGGAGUUUGUAGAUGUAGGUGGUAAUUUAAUAGUAUUAAUAUCAUUACCAUAUUUUUCUUUAUAAUAGUUAUAUAAAUUAUAUAAUAAUGAAUUUAUUUCAUUUUUAAUUUCUUCAAUUUUUAUUUGGUCAUUAAAAUAAAUAAUUGUUAACCAUUCAUCCAAAGCUUCAAAUUUCAAUCUAGGGUCCACAAUUAAAGCAAUAUAAAAAAUUAAAGGUAUUUCUCCCCAAUAUUUUCUAAAUUUUUAUAUCAUUACAAAUAUUGUAUCAUUAAAUAUUUCAAAACUUAAAUAUUUUUGAAGUACAAUAAAAAUAUUAGUUAUUUGCGUAAUAACUCGAUUUGAAGUUGGAUAAUAUACACCACAAAAAAUGUUUGUUGAAGUAUCAAAAAUUUCAAAAAGAUCUCUUAAAACAUCCGCAAUAUGCCAAUCAUAAUCAUUUAAUGCAUAAAUAUCUGCUUCAUAAUCAUUGUUAAUUAAUUGUAUUUCAUAUAAUUCGACUACUUUUCUAUAUUUUGUAAUAUUUUCUAAAAGUUUAUAUGUGGAAUUCCAUCUAAUAGCCAUAUCCAAAUUUAUAUUUUUUCUUUUCAUAUUUAACAUUUUGCAACAAUCAAAAAAUAAUUCAUGUUUUGCUUGAAAACUAUUAAUACUAUAUGCAAUGCCUCUAAUUUUUUUCCAAUGUACUAUCAACAUUUUUUAAUCCAUCCUUUACAAUUAAAUUUAAAAUAUGUGCACAACAACGCACAUGAAAUAUUUUAGCAUGAUCUUCUUUUACUUGCCAAUAUCGUUUUAGUCUAUGUAUUGCUGCAUCAUUAUUAGCAGCAUUAUCUAAUGUUAUUGUCAAUAUUUUAUCACGAAUGCCUAAAUCUAUAAUUUCAUCAUUUAUUAAAGAUGCUAUAUUUUUACCACUAUGUGGAGUAUUUAUUAAUUUAAAUAAAAUUAUUCUUUUAUUUAAUUUCCAUUCAUUAUCAAUGUAGUGAACAAUUAUAUAUAAAAAACCAGUAUGAGUUAAAGAUGUCCAAAUGUCAGAUGUUAAACGAAUAUUUCCUUCAAAAUUUGCAAAAUUUUUUUUUAAAAUUUCUUUUUGUGUAUAAAUUUUUUUCAUAAUAUCUCUUUUAACUGUAUUUCCAGAUCAACCUUUAAAUUGAGGAUUAAUACCUCGUUGAAUUGUUCUUGCAAAAUCAUGAGUUUCCAUCAUGUUGAAAGGUUGUUCUGCUCUUAUUAUAUAAUCAAUCAUUUCUUCACAACAGUUAGAUUCAUCAUAAGAAAAUGUUUUUAAAUUUCCACUUUCAUUUUUACUUAAUUGCAUAUAAUUUCUAAUAUCUACAUUAUUUUUAGUUUUACAAUUUUCAUGAUGUCUUUUUAAAUGACUUGUAUCUGCAUUUGAGCCACCAGUAAGAAAUUUAUUACAAAUUUUACAUUUUGCUUUUAUUUUUUUUUUAUUAUUUUCUAAAAUUAUUUCUAUUCUAUCAAAAAAAUUCCAUAUAUUUAAAGUAAAUUUUUUGUUUGAUGAUAUUUCAUCACAUGGACUAGACGAAGAAGCACUUGUCAUAUUAUAAUUAUUGAUAAAAUAUUAUGCCAAAAAUAAUAAAGUAAUAAAUAUAAAAAAAAAUGUAACAAAAAAAAUAAAGUAGUAGGGGUGAAGUAUGUUACUCAAUUAGAGAACCUAUGCAGAAAUUCCUAGCAAAUUUGAACUCUUGGAGCCACCAAUGCUUGUUUUGCACCAUCAACAAUAUUGUAUAAUUUGAGGGAAAAAUAAAAGAAUUUAAAAUAUUGUAGAAUGUGAGAGAAAUAGAGAGAAUUUGAUGAAAAAAUGAAAAGGAAGAAAAUGUAUUUAUAGGAAGGUUAAAAAUAAUAAUAAUAAUAAUAAUAAUAAUAAUAAUAAUAAUAAUAAUAAUAAUAAUAAUAAUAAUUGGCCAUGUGACCGUUGGAGGCUUAGCUCCAACGGUCACAUGGGCUGGAGCUAGGCUCCAACAGUCACAUGACCGUUGGAGCCUUUAAUUUUUUUUUUUAAAAUAAUAUACUUUAUUUUUAUAUAUAUAUAACUAACUCAAUUAAUAAACAUAAAAAGAAUAUAGUUCAGUUGGUUAGAACCUUGAAGUUUAAACAUGAGGGGAGGGGUUUGAAUCCCUCCCUCUCCCUUAGGGGCUUUUUUAAAAGCCAUUUUGGCUUAUUUCAAAAAGCCUGUCGGCCCGACCCGCCCUGCAGCCCGCGGGCCUAGCAUUUUAGCAUGGCCUGGUCUGUUGACUAGUCAAAUGGCUCAUAGGCUCGGCCCGAACUGGGCCGCGGGCCUCUUAUUUACGGACCGGCCCGACCCGGCCCGCCCGUUGGAGACCCUUGAUAAUAUCUUCUAUAUUAAGUUACAUUAUAGUUUAUUUUACAAUAUUAUUAUGAUAAUAUGUCUAAUUUUAAAAUAUAUUUAAUAUUAAAAUUAUGAUCUAUUUUAAUUUAAAUGUAUUCAAUGAUAUCAAAUAAAUAAUAAUAUAUGUAUAAUUCUUUUAUUAUUUAUAUUUAUUAUUUUUAAUAAAUAUAUAGAUUAUAUAAAAAAGACCGGAUAUAUCUUUUCAAAUUUUGUAUCGCUCUCCAAGGAUAUUAGAUGUAUGGGAAUUUGUAUUGCUAUCUACGGAUACGUUGAUAUAUGGGUGAUUUAUCAGGAUAAUUAGAAAUUCUAAUUAUGUAAGCAGGUACGGAGUUCUGUGUCGGUGCGAUCUUGUCGACAACAGCUCCAAAUUGUGCAUCUUGCUCAUAGAGAGUAGCGGAAUGCACCAAUCGUAGGCUCAGAGUACCACUGAGUCGUCUGGCAGAGACCCAACUGAAGGUGCCUGUGUUGUUCCUGAUCUGAUCAGGCUUCAAACUACAAGGUGGAAUACUGGUUCCCCUAUAUCAGAAGCUGGAGAUACCCACCCCAUAUGCUCGUCUGGAUGUGCUCCUACCCUUUGAAGCCUUCUUCCGAGUCAAGUCCGAAUUGAUAAGGCUAGUGAGUUCCCAACCAACUGUACUCAGCAUGCUGCCAGGUGGAGACCCUCCAUAUUUGAUGGCUUCCUAAUAUUAAAAUGCUGACCACUGGUCUUCAUGUUCCACAGGCUUAAUUGUGUCCUUUGCUGAAAGAAUGGAUAGUGAUCCAUUUUAACACAUGAUUCACGCCGUCUUUGCCAUUCUUCAUGGUCUAGCCCUUUUAUAUAUAUGCUUCCUGAACUGUUGCUAUUAAUAAAAUGUGGUAUCUAUCCCGUACACCUUCCUGAUGGCCAGCGAAUGCAGAAGCUACAGAAACGGUUCCAUCUUUUGCUUCCGCCACUUUGGCAUCCUCCAUGAUGAGAUCGAAGGUGAAUAAUCAUAUUCUGGGGAUUUAUGUCCUGGAUAUUCUCAGUAAUGCCCAAUUUCCUGGUGCCGGCCUCAUUUCCAUGGGAACUGAUGGAUAACUUAAGGCUUCUACCAUCUGCGUGGUUCGCUUCUAACACAGGAAACUUCACGGCUAAAAGCAAGAUACCAAGAACAUCAAGGCUGUGACAAAAAUUAGUAUUUUUAACUUGUAGGAAUUUGAAAGGCAACCAACCAUCUAGCUCUGUUCUUAAAGCUCCCAUAGGAGGAUCAGAGGCUGGAUUGCUCAAGAUGAACUCAUCCAUUGUUGCACUUAAAAAGAAUUGGCAUGAAUUGUGGCCGCUCUAAUAGGUUCCCUAAACCAUCAUCCAAGUGGGCUUGCGGAAGGUAGCGAGUUUAAAACACCUAGGGCGAUGAACAGUGGACUGUGAUGCUCACAAAAGAGAAAAGGAAGAAUUCAAUAAUUCCUAAGAAUCCAUUUGCCUGUCAUCCAAAUUUUUAUAUUCUCUUCAGUCUGACGCGUUAUGCCAUAUAUUAAAAAUAGCGGCUUCUUCCAAGCCGAGACAGACUGUGCAAAGUUCGCAAGGCCAAUCAUCACCAUAAUCUGAAGUUGGCCUCCUCAAUCGCAGCUUGUAUCCGAAUGCUCACUUCACGGGAUGGAUUGUAAUGAAAACUAAUCUCAGUCCCAGCUAUGGCAGCAUCCUCACUUGACAGCAUUUUCUGCAUAUUCUAGAACAAAGCAAUAAACCCUCAAAGGCUCCUUCGGAUCAGAGUUAGAAGACUGUCCCUCAGGAACGUGAACACUAUGGUGGUUCUGAUAAGCAGUGAUAUUGCAUUAGAGCCUUUUGGAACAAGAGGAUCUUUUCAGGUGGAAACUGUAAACUGCUUCAUGUUGGGCUGCAACCUUUUCUUCAAGCAAUACUUUCUUUCUGUAUCACGACUUAUGUUGCUUCCGGAGCCAUCCCGUGUGGACUGCCCUUCAGUGAAAGAAUAUGUGUGUUGACAUGUUGGAUUGUAAUCUUUGUUCCACUCUAAUGGCUUUUGGUCCUCCUCUUUCUCUUUAUGACAGAGAACCAUUUAGUGAUCCAUCUCUAUAUUGUAGCAUUGCUGGUGCUUUGCAAUACUACACUCUCACCAAGCAUAACAUCUAUUUUUCCGUGACCAAAGUAUGUCGGUUUAUGCAUGCGCAAACUCUUAUUCAUUGGCAAGUUGUCAAGCGUAUCUCAUGAUUUCCCAAAGCCACAAGUUCUUAUGGUCUUUCUGUUCAAGCUUACAAUGAUCUAUCUUUUCUUGGUUAUACUGAUGUCGAUUGGGCUAGUUGCCCUGAUAACAAGCACAAUACUAGUGGGUACAACACUUUUCCUGGUCCUAAUCUCAUUUCAUGGGCAUUUUCAAAGCAGAAGGUUGUGUCUCACUCCAAUAACGAAUCUGAAUAUAGGGGACUCACUAAUUAAUGUUGUUGCCAAGGUCACUUGGAUUGAAUCUGUCUUACGUGAGUUGCGUGUUUCUCUACCCCAACCACCAAUUUUGUUGUGUGACAACAUUAGUGCUACACACUUGGACAAACCAUGUUGAAAUACACUAUCAUUUUAUCCAUGAAAGGCUUAUGCAUCACACACUCAAAAUUCAAUACACCUCUUCUAUAGACCAACUAGUCAAUGCUAUGACCAAAGCUCUUCCUUCAUCUCACUUGUACAAUCUUCAGUGCAAGCUGAUUGUUCUUCCCAAACCACUCAACUUGAGGGGAGAUGUUAAGCCAAUUUAAUAAAUUGAUUUCUUUUGGUUAAUUUGUUAGAAUCAUUUUUAUUAGAGGUUUGUUUGUACAAUUACAUCCAUUUAUCAGGAGAGUACACGUGUACAACUCCUCUUUUAAUCUCACCAUUGUAUAUAUAUGAUACACGACCUUACUCAGAAUUGCAUAACAUUUCCUCUGCUCAUUCCUUUUCUUCUUUGAAUUUUCCCUUACCUCACUGAUUUUGAUUUAUACCUGGUGUUUUCACCUUUGGUCUCUACCUUUCUAGCCAGUUUUCUAAUUAAUCCGUAUAUGGUAUACCUGUCAACUAAUGAGGAGAAAGAGAAAAGGGGAUUGCUGUUCCACCAGCUACAUAUAAUAAUUAAUUACAAUCAUGGUAAUGGAUCCUGAAAUCCAUCCUUUGUGGAUUUUGUACGGAAUAUUGUUGUUAUGUAUGUGGGCUCACUUAGAUGUAUAUUGCUAGCCUGUCUGGGAAAUGUGAUUGCAGGUCCAGAUUAUGAUGUUGAUAUUAGUGGGAUAAGCAAGAGAUGCAGUUAACACGUAUGUGAUGGACUUGAGUAACUUUUCCAUUUCAGUCCAUUUUUUAAGAUUAUGCUUAGUCUUAUUACAAGGAAAGACCAUAAGAAUCAUGAGUCAUUGGCAAGGUAAUAUCAUUCCCUCUUUACAGGCUUCUUCACCUUUUGGUUUUUUUAAUAUCCAUCAAGAUCUUUUAAUUGGAGGACAAUUACAAGUAUAUAUAUAUGUAUUAAAAGGGGAAAAUAUUAAAACAGGAAAUUUUAGGGAAAAUAUAAUAAUUAUUUCUUCCUUCUUUCCCAUAUAGAACUACACAAAAUAAAACUUUAAUAAUUUUUUCUUAUCUUUUUUAUUAUUAUUUUUUCUUAGAAACAUCCGUGGUCUCACAAGCUUGUAAUCCUAGAUUGUUAGGCUCCUUUAACAGUGCCCCAACAUCGUGGUCCAAUGACAAGCUUCCACGCCUUAAAAUCAGAAAAUGCCAUUAAACUUUAUCAGACAUUACAGUUCAAGACAAAGCUUUCAUUUGCUUAAUGUGAUAAUGAAAUUGUUAAUUUCAUUUCGUGGGCAUCUAAAUUUGGACGAGCAAGACCUCUGAAUUCCCUGUUUUUAUCACCAGCAGAGGAGAUAAAAUCUUAAUGGUGAGAAUCUCCACGUGAAAUUUAUGUGUACUGUCAACAUAUUUUUGUUUAUAUAGUCCAGUAGCUGCAGGAAGUCUAGAUUAUAUAGGUAGCAGUAGCACUAUUUAUAGCACUCGAUAUUCGCUGUAUGAAUACAUUAAACCUUGUUUUCAAUACGCAUCACAAGCAAGUACUAGAUACUACAAGGAGUGACAGUCGCAUCAACAUUUCUUGAUAAUAGCAGUGACUGAUUUAUACACAGAACAGUACUGUACACGUACCAGUCACCAGAGAUAGGAUCUUAUUCCUACAUACGACUCUUAUUGAUCGAAGUCACUCAGUUGGGGUAGCCUGGAGUUGGAGGUUUGUGUGGUGGCUUCUUCUUUGGAGGAGGCUUUAUCUUUGGAGGCAUCAUCUUUGGAGGCAUCUUGUGUGAGUCUUCUUCAGCAUUCUCUACAGGAGGAUGGCCAGGCUUAUGACCCUUAGGUGGUUUGCCAACUGGGAUUGGUGGCUUGUGUCCUGAGAGUGGCUCCUCUUCUUCGGGAGGUUUGCCAACUGACGUUGGUGGCCCGUGUCCUGGGGGUGGCUUGUGUUUUGGGGGUGGUUUCACUCCACCGGGAGGUUUACCAAUUGGUGUUGGUGGUUUGUGCUCAAUCGGUGGCCUCUCAACUGGGGGGCGCUUGGGGUAAUCAGCGAGUGAAGAAGUGGUGAGAACCACCACUCCAAGCAACAACACUAGCAAGUAUGUGGAAGACAUCUUUGAGUUUGGCUCAGAUGGUGUAGAACUAGAAUCCUGGGUGGCCUUUUAUAUUAGUUGGGCCCUAUGCCCGAACGACAAGUGUCAUGGUGACACAUAAAGUGAUGGGGUCGAUUUGGGCCUACCGGAUUUGAAAACUUGGACAAUUCGAGAAGCGUCUCCUGACUCCGGGUUGUAAAGUGAAAGAUUAGGUAUCGACCAUUGAAGUAUGAUCACAACUUUUGGCCUUUGGCUCUCUCUACUGCCGUAUAGCUUUUUUCCUUUGGAUAUUUUUCUUAGCUAGACACAAUUAUUGAGCAGUCUAAUCUCGAAAUGGGAUUAGUAUAGCUUUAAGCAAAUUUAUUAUAGUUAGUGGAGGACUUUUAAGAGUGCAGACGACAUUUAACACAUGCAUGCAGUAGUAUAGGGGACAUAACACUAUUCUUUUUCCAAAGAUUCACAUGAUUUUUAUAUUAUAGUAUUGGCACAUUGUAUGUAGCUGGUUUUGUGGUUAAAAUUCCAUAUGUAGACACUGGCGUUUCUCCAUUUCUCACAAUUGAUGUUUACCUCCACGAUUACUAGAUUAGAUAUACCAAACAAUAACACAUUGUAUAAUCUAUCCGCCCUUCAAAAUCUACUGUAUGAUGAAAUGUUUCAUGUGUGUGUGAAGUGUUAGAAAUGCACUAUAGGCAACAUCAUCUUCUUUUGUCUAGGCUUGGGCCUCAAAUUAUACUCCCAUGCCAUGAUAAAUUUUCAUGUGCAUUCUCUAAAGAAGAGUGUCUUGAAUGUGCCAAAUCAUUUUGAUUGAUUUUAUGAUGUUAAUUGCUCCGCAUAUGGAUGGGUAUGUGCUUUAUUUGCUUAUUCAAUCCACAAUUACCUUGAACUGAAGUCCUAUUGGAGCUCUAUUAUUUUAGCAACGUCCUGUCAAAUAGGCUGCUAACUUGGGGUGGUAUGGACCCAAUGAUCCAUCUUAAUCUUGGGUUGAUUUUGUCUGACUCUAUCUAUCUCAGAGAGAACCAGGAUCACCAGUGCUGGUCUGCUUAAAGAAGACUCAGUACUGGAUUAAUAUUGGUUUGGGUCAAUAGCUUAUAAUGCAUUGAAUGCAGAAUAAACAAGAUCAAUGAAACCCAAAACACACUGCCCACACAACUUCACUCUGGUGUCUGUUAUUCAUCAAUUCUAUUCCCACAUGAACUGGUUCAAGUUUAAGAAAAUGACAACGGAUCCACUGUAUUAACUUGGUUUUGCUUGGUUUUGAGCUAGUUGCCAAACCAGCCAUGAGUUUUACCUCUAAUGUCAAUGAACAAACCCCAAAUGAACAACUGCAACAGCUUAAAGAGAAGGAAUGGAGAUGAAAAUCCCUGUUUCUUCUCAUUCUGGGGACAAAUUAGAACAUAACUACAAAGGUUCUAUUAAUUGACUUACUCUACCAUGAAUUAUGGUUCUUUGGUUUUCCAAAUUUAAAUUGUACAUGAGAUUAUUUUUUUCCUUUAUAUAUAAACAUAUUAAGGUUUUCUUAUUUCGUGGGCAAAUGCGCUAAGGAUGAAAGUCAUUUCAUUUGGCUGCAACAGCAUCUUAUAAUCAACAUGCAUAAGCAGCAGUUUUAAUUGAUCGAUUGAACACCGACUCACAAGAAUAGAUAGAAUGGUACAAGACAGCUCUUAUUAAUUUAUACUCGUUACUCAUUUUAUGUAGCCCCAUUAAGAUGGCUGGCUGGACCACCGAGGUCUGGGGGUGGU
rnacentral:lncRNA from 1 species